rnacentral:lncRNA from 1 species
UCCAAGACAACAGCAUAAAUUCCAAUCACCAUUAGCAGAAAUUGCAAAUCUUUUGAGGGUUAGAGCAAGUACCAAAGAGCGAAACCGAAAUCAAGCAGCAAGAGAAUAAAAAAUUGGGGACUUUCACAUCUGUGAAAUACAAAAUCUAUGAUUUCGUAAACAUCAACAAUUAUCUGCGACUUGAGUUUCAGUGGUCGGUGGGAUGGUCUAGGCGAGGUCGUCCGGCAGGAUGAAAACGCGAGAGGAGUCGAUCAGCCGACGCGGCGGGGAAUGGUGGCUGAGGUCGAAGGGGUCAAGCAGACGAGGACGCGAGAAAGGAGUCGAUCAGACGACGAUGCGGCGGAGAGUGGUGGCUGACGCCGGAGGGGUCAAGCAGAUGCGGACAUGAUAUAGGAGUCGUUCAGACGACGCCGAGAGAGAGAGGAAUCGAGCGUAUAAGGACGAGAGAGAGCACGGUCUUAGCAAUCCCAUAGGUUUCGGGGGGACUCAAGUACAAAAAUAAGGAGAAAGAGAAACCAUUCGAAUUAGAGCACGAAAUUGGAAGCCUGGAAUGAAGCGGAGGGGAAGGAUUCGCAGUGUGAAGGCACUGAAGGGGAAGGAUUCGCGAUUCGGUUGCAGUGUGAAGACUGAAGAGGAAGGGUUUGGAUUUGCUGCUGUGAACUGUGAACACACAAGAGUGAAGGGGAAGACUGAACACACAGCAGUGAUAAUUAUAUAAUUGUCACUCAAUUCUACGACGUUAUCCGACCGGCAAACGUUUUGCAGCGAUCGUUGAUCAAAUUUUCCGAUAACAAGUUCAUUGUCCAACAGUGACUUUUAAAAUAAACAUUCUAGGUGAUGAAUUUUCUUCUAAGGUCUCUCUAACUUUACUGUGCAUGCGUGUAAAACAACAAUAAACUCACACAAAAAAUAUAAUUAAAGAUGAGAAAGUUGCACCUCGUGCUAUUUUUUAUGUCAUUGUUGAACAUGACAUGACAUUUUCGAGCGACUCAAAAAAAUUCUGGCGUCAAUGACAAUCCAGCACUGGAGUCGGUGGUCUGUGAAUCAUGUAUAAUGGAGGAAAAAAUAUAAAUAUUUCUAUGCUUAAAAAUGUCUGGACUUACAAAUAAAAUGAUUUGAGCUUGGUAAUUGAUAUUUCUUGAUACAUAUUAAAAUUGAUAUUUAAUCUGAUUUUGCCUCAUUAUUUUGGAGUUCAUGAAUCGAGUCCUACAACUGUAUGCCACGCUUGGAAACGAAUUAAAGUUUUCACCUAUAGUUGUGCAAACAAAUUAAGCAAUGGAGUUUCUUGUUACAAUACCAAGACCCCACAAAAUUUCAGGAUAUGUAUAUUUGGCAUGGAAAUAUGUUCAAUUUCAUUUGAUUGAAUAUUUCAUCCCUUGUAAAUAAUAUUUUUUUUUCAUCGUAUAAAUUUCAAAAUCAGGAAGGGGUAAACGCGAAGAUCACAAACUAAUGACCGGAGCAAUCUAGCGAAGAUCACAAACUUAAUAUUUAAGAUGAUAUUCUUUGGUGUAUGCUUUUCGCAAACGAUAUAGUGUUGAUAGAUGAAACGCAGGAAGGGGUAAACGCGAAGCUUAACCUUUGGAGAGAAGUGUUGGAAUCUGAAGGUCUUCGCCUAAGCCGAUCAAAGACAUAAUAUAUGGAGUGCAAAUUCAGUGCAAACGGAGGCCAAAAUGAGUUAGGGAUGAGGAUCGGAGAUCAGGAAAAACCAAAGAGCGACCGUUUUCGCUACCUAUGAUCUAUCUUGCAAAAGAACGGAGAAUUUGAUGGAGAUCUCACCCAUAGAAUACAAGCUAGAUGGAUGAAGUGGAAAAGUGCAUCCGGCGUGUUGUGUGACCGUCGUAGGCCACUGAAGCUCAAGGGAAAAUUUUAUAGGACGGCAAUAAGGCCGGCAAUGCUGUAUGGCAUAGAAUGUUGGGCGGUGAAGCAUCAACACGUAGGUGUAGUGGAGAUGAGGAUGCUUCGUUGGAUGUGUGGGCACACGAGAAAGGAUAAGAUUAGGAAUGAGGAUAUCCGAGGUAAAGUAGGAGUAGCCGAAAUUGAAGGAAAGAGGAGAGAAAAUCGGUUACGGUGGUUUGGACAUGUGCAAAGAAGGCCUACUGACGCUCCGGUUCGAAGAUAUGACCACGGGACAGAGGUUCAGGACCGAAGGGGUAGAGGAAGACCUAAUAAAACUUUGGAAGAGACCCUAAGAAAAGAUUUAGAGUACUUGGAUCUAACAGAGGACAUGACACAAAACCGAGCACAAUGGCGUUCUAGGAUUCAUAUAGCCGACCCCACUUAGUGGGAAAAGGCUUUGUUGUUGUUGUUGUUGUUGUAUAAAUUUCAAAAUCAGAAUCGUUAAAUUCUUAAUUCCCACUUUAAAGAUCAUUCAUACAAAAAACAUUUGAAUUGGAAAUCGUUUACUCAUACAAAUGUAACAGAUCAUGCGUUUUUUUCUUUUCUUGUUUUUAUUUUGUGAUUGUACUGAAAAUGCUCGGGGUUUUUUUUUCUUGUCCUUGUCUCUUCUCGACUGCACAUUAGGACUCACGGGUGGGUUUGCUUUCUCCUUUGACAAGGAGCUUGGUUAGAUUCAUCAAGAAGACAAGUUUGGUAUAACACUUGCUUCAAAAGGCUUUGUUUUCUCUUUCUCCUUUGACAACAUGAAUUGCUAGCUACAACUUUCAGUGCUUAGGUGAUAUUUGAUGAAAUAAUUAUGUUUGAUCAAUCAGUCUGGACUUUCCACUAUAUACUUCAAGCCAAUAUACAAUUGUUUCAAAUACUAAUGCAUCAAAUAAGGACUGAAACUGAAUCAAAAUGCAUACACGAGGACCCAUACAUUAAGAACUCUAUCAAAGUGCAUGAACAAGAGGACGGUUUAACUGCACACUUCUUGCAGCAUCCCGCAAAAACUUGAUUUUUAUUUUUUUGAGUGUGGCUACAGCUUCUUGCAUGUUUAUUCUCUCGCCUGGUAGCUCUGCACAGCAAGCAAGAGCUAAUCGCAUAAUGGAAGAUAAGCAAUCUAUCUUAGUCACAAAACCAGGAUCUUCCUCUUGUGUUACAAGUAAAUUGGCAUCCACAACUUCAGCUAUUGCAUCUGAUGAAAGUGAAUUUGCAACCCAUUGCCUUAGAUUCAUUUCCUCAACAAACAUUUCAUUCGUAGGCUUCAUUUUUGUGAAUGUUUCCAUGACUACAAUACCAAAACUGUACACAUCCCCUUGCGUAGAAACAAUUCCAUCCAUCCCGUACUCUGCAAUAUUAAUAUACCAAAGAAAGUUAGAAGUUCCAGUUCUUCAUGAUUCUAAAAUUGAAAGACAUUAAACUAGCAAGUAGAUCACCUGGAGCCAUAUACCCAACUGUGGCUAGGGUCAUGGUUCGGGUCAUGGAAUCCCCGAAACCCAAGAGUUUUGCAAUGCCAAAAUCCGCAACAUGUGCAACCAUAUCAUCAUCUAGUAGGAUAUUGCUUGGCUUCAAAUCACAAUGGACAAUUGGCACUGAAUAACCAUGGUGUAGAUAUUCCAAUGCCAAUGCAACAUCUACCAUUAUAUUCAACCUCUUUAGGAUAUUAAAAGAAAAGUUUUGAGAAUACAACCACUUCUCAAGGCUACCAUUAGGCAUAUAGUUCAGUACCAAGGCUUUGAAAUCCAAUUGACUGCAACAGCUAAUGAUUUUGAUAAGAUUUCGGUGCCGAAUAUUACUUAGCGUUUCACAUUCCCUCUCAAAACUCUUGAAAGCCCCUUCUAGCUGCAAAUCGAAAAUCUUUACUGCAACAUCUAUCCCAUCUGAGAGUGUCCCUUUAUAUACUGAACCAAAACCCCCACUUCCAAGUAAGUUGCUAUCGUUAAAUCCAUUUGUCGCCCUUAGAAGUUCCAGGUGCGAAACUCUUCUCCAAAGAGAUUGAGGCAACACGGUAGCCUCUGUUGCAUCUUCAAUUUUCCUUUUCCUUUGCAGUAUAGACACAAAGGCUACUAGGAAUAUUGUUGCUAUGAUUAUUGCUGGAAUAAUAUAUUUCAAGUUGGAUGAACCAGCUUUCCUUGAAUUUGGUUGAAGUGUAUUGUUUUUGCAUGGUGGGACAUGGAAUCGAGCUGCACCACACAACGCCUUAUUCGAGACAAAUGAUGGAGCAGAGAAGUUUUUGAAAGGUCCGCCUUCUGGAAUUUCCCCUUGGAGUUGGUUGAAAGAAAAAUUCAGGUACUUCAGAUUCAAGAAUGCUUCUAGCGACUUUGGAAUUGCUUCAGACAAACUGUUCUUGGAUAAAUCCAACUGUAUCAGGCCUGUCAAUUUGCCGAAUGAACUGGGAAUAGGGCCUUCAAAAUUAUUAUCUGCCAAGGAGAGACUAAUUAAAUGUAGAAGAUCCCCAACGCUGCUUGGUAUAACACCAAAUAAAUUGUUGCUUGAUAGAUCCAUGUAUGACAAAACUUUCAACUGGCCGAUAUCUUGUGACAGAGAUCCAUUUAGAAGAUUUGAUGACAAGUUGAAGAACCAGACUUGUUCUAGUUCCCACAAUGUAGAUGGCAGUGUAGAAGUUAACAAAUUGGAGGCUAAUGAUAGAAUUCCAAGAUUUGCAGAUAGAUUGCCUAAGCAAGAAGGUAUAAAACCAGAAAGUUGAUUCUGACUCAAAUAUAAUACAGAAAGUUUGUUUAGUUGACAAAGUUUAUCGGGAAUAUAUCCUUGCAACUUGUUAUCAACCAAAUACAAACCUUGGAGACUCCCUAGUCUUCCUAUCGAAGUUGGAAUUAACCCGCUCAAUUGAUUGGAUACCAGGUUUAAGGAUAUCAAGCUGCUCAAGUUGCCAAUAUCAUUGGGAAUGCUACCCUUCAAUUUGCAUUCGCUUAAAGAAAUUUUUUGAAGCGAUGUAGAGUAAUUCUGAAAAGAAAUAGGAAGAGGAGCGUUUAAAGGAUUACGUCCCAGGAUGAGUACCCCAAGAUUUCUAAGAUUACCUAAACAAGAAAGGAAAUUUACUUCUGGAGUUGAAGUGUCAACCGUCAAAUUAUUUUGGUAUAAGCUAAGAUACUCAAGGUUUGCUAAGGCACAUAGUUUGUUAGGAAUAAACCCGGAAAAUGAAUUGUCGGAAAUGUCUACAUGAUUGAGCUUAGAGCCAUUGGAGAUAAAAUUGGGAAUGACUCCGCUGAGUUCAUUCAUUCCUAAAUAUAUACUUUGUAGGUUCGGAAUUCCAAGGCCUAUGUUUGCUGGGAGGCUACCUGAGAGUUGAUUACCAACAAGUGAAAGUACUGUCAUCUUUGACAUAUUGAAGAUUGUGGAUGGAAAGGGGCCAUUGAGAUUGUUAAAAUCCAGUGACAAAUACUGUAGACUUUGAAGAUUGCCAACUUCAUAUGGUAUAAUACCUGCCACAGUUAGUAUUAGCACACAAUAGCGUUAGCAUUCCUAAAAUAAUAUUAACUCCAUAGUUUCACUGGAUCAUUAAAAAGAAAAUAAAAAUACGACAAGGAAUUGGGCAUAUGUAGAGAAGAUGGAAGGAUACGCUCUGUUUAGGAAUUAUGAAAUGGAAUGUGAUAUCCACACAUAUUUUUUUAUUUCUCAACACACCUUUCUAAUUUUCGGCCGUCGGAUUGGAUAAAUUAAAGAAGAUCAACACAUAAAAAUUAAUAAAGGAUGUGUGAGAAGUAAUUAUGAAAUCUAAUGAGUACUUAAUGUACUUACUUUCUGAUUUAAUUCAAUAAAAAAUGCCAGAUAUUCAAUGCUUUUAAAGCUAAAGAAAAAUCAAAUAAAAAAUUUAUUAUUUUUUAAUGAGUACUUACUUUAUGUUUUGAAUCAAUAAAAAAAUGCCACAUAUUCCAUGCUUUUUAAAGUUAAAGGAAAAUUAAAUAACAUAUUUAUUAUAUUUUUUAAACAAAAAAACUGAAAUAUAAUUGACCAAAUCAAAAAGUAACUACACACUAGUGAUCUCUCCAAAUACGGACCAGGAUCCUCGCCGAAUCCAUUCCCUGAGGAUCCUAGGGGGCCCACAAUCCUGUUCAUUCAUCGUAUAUCGUGUAGUCAUAAAUUAUUUAAAAUUUAAAAUUUAAAAUUCAAAUGUAAAUAGUACCUAACAAAAACUGACUGCACGAUAUACGAUGAACGGACAGGAUUGCGGGAUCCCUAGGAAAUGGAUCCAGCGAGGAUCCUAGUGCUCCAAAUACUAUCCGUUUGACGUUAGUUAGGUGAGAUGGACUUAUAAUUGAGUAAUUAAAUACUUGAUAUUUAUUUUUUACAUCGAAUAUUAAUUAUUGUAUUUGAGUAUUUCGAACCAUUCACGAUUGAAAAUAGCACCCCACCUUUAUCAUUGAAAAAUAAAUCAUCAUGCUUGGAACAAGGAAAUAAAUUGCUCUAAUUAAGACUAAUAGACUUGGCAAUUAAGUACCUAUUAAGGUGUUGUUGCCAAAACCAAGCUGUGUUAACUGGGUCAAGUUUCCAAUACUUCUUGGUAUGCUUCCACUGAAAUUAUUAUAGUCCAAUACCAAACUAAGGAGCUCUUUGCACUGCCAUAACUUGUGUGGAAGUGGACCAUCAAACUGGUUGUGAGCCGAAUUUAACACCUGGAUGCUUGGAAGAUGUUGGCAUAUAUUGUCCGGAAAACUACCACUUAAGUUGUUUCCGUUUAGAGCCAAAAUUGUCAAAGAGGACAUGUUGAAGAUAGCCAAAGGAAUGGGGCCUUUUAGGGCAUUAGCCUGCACAUACAACUUCUCCACCUCAUCUUUACUGCCAAUCAAGUUUGGAAUUUCUGAAGAAAAAAAAGAGGAGAAAUUAGGUUAACAUCUUUUUUUUUGCUACUUCAUUAAUUAAAAUCCAAUUCAUUUUCAAUUUUUGAUCAAGGUCCUUGGGUUUUAAUAACAUCAUUAAUUAUUUGAAUAAUAAAAUAUUUAUAUUUUUAAAUAUACUCCUUUAGUGUUAAAAAUGUUACAAUUAGUAUAUUUAUAUUUAUGGCUAAAUUUUUUAUCAUAUAUUUUUAUUUUUAGUUUGUACCUAUUUUUAAUUUGUACCAAAAAUUUUUUUUUCAUUUUUAAUUUGUACCCAUAUAUUAGUUUCUUUUUGUGCCCCUAUUUUUUAAAGUUUUAUUUGUGUUUGUACCCAUGUGUAUACCAUUACGCGACAUUGUAUAUUUAAUCAAUGAUAGAAUAAUUACAUAUGGUAUAUUUAUGUUUUAUGCCUAAACUUUGUAUCAUAUAUUUAUAUUUUUAGUUUGUACCCACUUUUAAUUUGCAACAUUUUUUUUAAUUUGUAGUAUUUUAUUUUUAGUUUUAUUUUGUACCCAUGUAUAUUAAUUCUUUUUAGCGCCUAUAUUUUAAAAAAAUUCAUUUGUACUCAUAAUUUUUUAAUCUUUUAUAUGUACCCUAAUUUAUUUAUAAUGUACCCAUUCUUCUUUAUUAAUGUACCACUUUGUGUAUAUGUGAAAUGUGCCAAUUUUUUUGUAAAAUGUACCAAAACACUAUGGAUACAUUCUUUUGCCAUUUAUUAUUUCUUAUUUUUACAUAGUUUUUAUCCAUUUAUUCAAUCAAAAUGUUUGAAGUUUUUUAUUGUAACCGUUUCUAAUAGUAUUUUAUAAUGAGAGAUUUUAAAUUUAUUAUAUAAAAUAUCAAACAAUUAAUGUCAAAACUAUAAAAAUAUAAAUAUUAAUUGUAAUAUAAAGAGGUGUACAAAGUUAAGGGACUUUGAUCAAACUUUGAAUACCAUUAAGGUUUCAAUCAAAGAAUGUUAAGAGUUAGGGACCGUAUUCAAAGUAUCCCAAAAAAAAAAUCACAUAUAGGUUUUCUAUAUAAUAUUAUAUAUGAUAUAUAAUAAUGCGAAAAAAGCUAGGGAAGUCACAUUUAUGCGUACCACGUUGUCUUAAUUACCUCUGUGAAACCUACUAGUAUUAAUCAGUGCACCCUGUUUCUAUGAGAAAUGUGGUACAAUGAGUAUUGUUUACAAAAAUGUGAUUUCACCAGCAUUAAUCUAAUAAUACUUAAAAAUGACAAAGCUGAGUCUUUCCUACCUUCGAGCAUGUUAAAAUCAAGGUAUAUAUUCCUGAGCAUGGUUAAGUUCCCAAUUUCUCUUGCUAUGCUACCUGUUACUUAAGUAAAAUAUGUAAACCCCCGUAGUUAAAAAAUGAACCAACAAAGUAUGUUAUAUAAUCAUGGCAACAAGCUGAUUGAGUCAUACCUUUGAAAUUGUUAUUUCCAAGUAAUAUCUCUUGCAACACUGUUAACCUCUCGAUUUCUCUUGGUAUGGUACCUAUCAAAGUAUAGGGUUUGUAAUAUGUAUUGGCCACAGAAAAGGAAUAAGGAAAAAAGUAAAAACUAGCAGAUAAAUAACAUGGUAUGGAACCUGAUAGCUUGUAUGGUAAUUGGUUCGCAUGUACGUACCGGAUAGCUGGUUGCUUCUUAGAUUAAGUACUUGAAGUGCAGAUAAGUUGAAGAUGGCGUUUGGUAUGGGACCUGAAAAUUGAUUACCGUACAAAUUGAAGGUUUGAAGUUUAGAUAACAACCCGAACCAUGAUGGAAUGGUUCCUUCAAAGUCAUUGAAUUCAAAGCUAAUCAACUUCAGCCUGCGUAGAUUAGACAAUUCCGGGGGCAAGGUACCACCAAAACUGUUGUUUCUGAAUUCCAAUUGAACAAGAAAUGAGAGGUUGCCUAGGUGGGGAGGGAUGGUUCCAGUGAGACCCAUGUAGGAGAGAUUCAAGGUUGUCACUCUAAGGUGGCGUGCACUGCAAGUAACGCCAACCCAGUUGCAAAUGUCGGAAAUGGAGGUAGACCAGUUGGUGGUCAAGAUGUUUUGAGGAUCAAUGGUGAUAUGGGAUUUGAGGGCAAGAAGAGCAGACUGAUCUGUGCUGAUGUUGGUUUGUGCUGCUACGGAACCCGUUAUUAAGAUAGGUAUGUAUACACAACAGUAUUGGAAUAGCAGCAACGACAAAGUUGUCGACGAGAGGAAACGAGUUCUCGCCAUUGUUAUAUGUGCUGAGUUCCAUGAAAUCAGAAGAAAUGGGAUCUCAAAGGUAGUCUUUUUAACUUUGAAAACUUUGACAUUAUUAUUGAUUGACUGCCAAAAAGAAAAUAAAUUAUUGACUAAUUAAACAUUUAAAACAUAAAAAAAAAUCCUUCUAUUUUUUUUUUUAAUGGGAUGCGCAUCUUGUUGAAUAGGUCUUUGGAAACACUUAAAUAAACCACAUGCAUCUUCAACUUAGAGAAAAAACAUUUUGGAUUGAGCAAUGGCGUAGUCAAUUUUUUUUUUUAUGGGUGGGCUAGUUAAAAAAAUGGACACUUUGGAUGCGGUCCCUAGUUAUCAAUAUUCUUUAACUGAGAUCUUGUAUGUUUUUAGUUUUUGAUCGAAGUCCUUGAAUUAAUGUAAUAGUGUAAGUUACUAUAUUUUUUUAAUUAAAAAUUAGAAAUUAAAAUUUGUAUUUGUUUAUAUUAAUGAGAUUUUAAAUAUAACUCAUAAUUUGUGGGAUUAAAAAUAAUAAAAUAUAAAUUAAUACUCUCUAUAUAUUGUGUGUGUGUGGGUACAUUCAUCAAAAUUAACAAAAAAAAAAGAAUUAUUGUACCAAAACAUGGAUACAUUCUCCAAAACACAAAAAAAAAAAGAGAUGAUAUUAGGCUUAAUAAUGUUAGUAAAUUUAUUCAAUUAAACUUCACAUAGAUACAUUCUCAAAUCAACGAAAUAAGAAUGUGCCCAUAUAAGCUUAAAAAUAAAUUAAAAAUUUUUUAAUGGAUUUUAUAUUAAAAAAUUGGGUACAUUUUAUAUAAAAAAAAUUGUACAUUUUAUAUUAAAAAGGGUACAUUUUACAUAUAACAAAUUGUUAUAUUUAAAAAUGGGUACAUUUAAGAUUAAAAAAAUUUGAAAAUUAUAUGAAUGGGUACAUUUAAGAUUAAAAAAUCAAGAAUCUUUUUAUAAAAAACUAAUGGGUACAAACUUAUUCUAAUUUUUAUUUUAUUUUAGAAAUGUUUGAAUUCAAAAUUAAUUAGGAGUUUAAUAGAGGUGUGAGUAUUAAAAUCCUAAAUCAAUUACUAAUUUUUAUUUUAAAAAAUAUGUAAUAAACAUGUAAAUUCAUUAUCACAUUAAUUUUAAGGACUUCAAUCAAAAUUUGAAAACUAAUAAGGUCUCAAUCAAUGAACAUUAGUAACUAAGGACCGGAUACUAAUUUUUCCUUUAAUUAAUUCGAACCUUCUUCAUAAUUAUCGCAUAUAAUAUAAGAAUGUAUUUUCAAUAGUAAUUAGUCUAGGAUUCUUACAUGAAUAGGAAUUAAUAUCAGUCUAUAUAUAUCCCACACGUUAAUACAAGGAGUCAUAUUUAUCAAUCGUCUAGAUUUUCGUAUAUAAUUUCAAAGUUUCAAAGUUAAAAAGAUUACCUUUGAGUUCCCAUUUCUUCUGACUUCUUGGAAUUCAGCACUACAAGUUACAACAAUGGCGAAAACUCGUUUCCUCUCGUCGACAACUUUGCUGCUAUUCCAAUACUGUUGUGUAUACAUACCUUUCUUAAUGACGGGUUCUGCAGUAGCACAAACCAACAUCUGCACAGAAUUAUUUCACAAUUAUUGGUAUUCAUUUUGAUUUGGACUUGCAACAACGUGAAGCAUUAUUAUAGUUGAAUCACUGUACAUAUAAUUUGCUCGACCAUUUGAAUGUGGAGGAUGCACUAAACUAGUAGGUGGUUUCUUAAGUCUUUAUCAUAUAUCAUUUUCUAUCAUAUAUAUAAUUAGGACAAUGAAUUAGAGACACCUAUUUAUAGUAAUAUUUCGGUAGUAUUUUUCUUUAGGGAAUUUUAAUGAAAAGGGCUUGGACUAAGUUUAUUUUAACAAAAAAUCAUGCUAUAAACUUUAUUUAAUGAAAAAGAAUUAAAUUUUAAUGAAAAACCCUUAAAUUUUAAUAAAAAGGACAAAAAAACUUAAUUUUUAACGAAAAUGACACAAUUUAAAAAAAAACAAAAAACCUGACGCGCGUAGUACAUGUACACUAUUUAUGAAAUUGAACACUAUUUAUAAAACUGAACACUAUUUAUGAAACUUAACUGUACUAUACUAUUUAUUGGUUCAAUUUCAUAAAUAGUGUCUAGUUUUUUGUCCACUUUCAUAAAAUGAUGUCUAGUUCUUGAUCAUGUUUCAUAAAUAAUGCCUAGUUAUUGGGUCCAGUUUCAUAAAUAAUGUAUAGUAAUUGGUACAAUUUCAUUAAUAGUGUCUCUUUCUUGGUCUGGUUUCAUAAAUAAUGUCUAGUUAUUGGUCCACUUUCAUAAAUAGUGCCUAGUUCUUGGUCAUCAUAAAUAUUGUCUAGUUCUUUCUCCAGUUUCAUAAAUAGUGUAUAGUCCAGUGUUCAAAUUAUGCCUAAUUCUUGUUUUCGUUUCAUAAAUAGUGUCUACUUAUUUAUCCAAUUUCAUAAAUGAUGUCUACUUAUUGGUCUAGUUUCAUUAAUAGUGUAUACUUAUUGGUAAAGUUUUAUAAAUAAUGUUUAAUUCUUGAUUCAGUUUCAUAAGAUUUGAAACUUAGACUCUUAUUGGUGAAGUUUUAUAACUAGUGUUUAAUUCUCAGUAAUUAUAUUUAAAAAACUGUUUUCAAUUACCAAAUUAAAAUUUCCUCACUUUUUUCAUAUACCUACAAUAAUAAAUGUAGCUCUCUAUCCAAUUUCUUGAGCUUGGGUAUUAUCUUCGAGAAAUUUUUCCUUGUGCCCGUAACACAAAUGAUAUACCACAUGUUAUUAUAUAAGUAUGGUGGAAAAUUUUAUUUUUUAUGUUAUUAAUUUUUUAACACAAGAUUCUCACAACUUGUAUGGAGUGUAUCAUCUCGUGUUCUGGGCACAUUGAAAAGUUUCUCAUCAUCAUGACUACUAUUAGAAAACAACACCACAAAAAUAAAAUAGGAGAAUGUAAUUCAAUUCGAAUUUUUUUUAUUUUUUUAUUCUAUGCAAAAAAAAAAAAAAACUAUUAAUGUAGCUGAACGAUGGGACAAAAGGUAGGAGAAAAAAAGUGGACUCGAGGGUGGGGGGGGUACGCGCCCAGCGCUUGUUAUGUUUUUUUUUUAGUCUUUUGUCCUUAUUAUUAAAAUAAAGUUAGUGGGUGGUUUUUGAUCAAAAUGUAAAAAUUUGAAGCCCUUUUCAUUAGUUUUCUUUUUUCUUUAUUGUAAUUGUGAGGUAUUAGAUUUCCCUCAUCCCUUAUUGUAAUCAUUAUAUCACAAUAAUAAUAAUAAUAAUAAUAAUAUUUAUAAUAUUCAUAAUAAUAAUAAUAAAAUACAAGGCGUCAUAAUUCUAUGUGGUACAGGAUUAAGUCAGAAAUUCUUUGGCAUUAGGAUUCUAUUACUAUGAAUGCGAGCAUCUCCAAAACAAAUCUUCAAUAAAAAAAUUAUCCUUAUUCCUAAGCCAUAUUAAACAAAAACCUAUUCUUAUUAAAUAUUCAUUUGUAAAUCUCAAUGAACGGGUAAAGCCCAGGAUAGGAAGUCGCAUCUCUUUCGGAGUUCAAUCGGAAAUCCUAUUUUAAAAAAGAAUCUAAUCAUGGGCUCUCAUGUGGCAAAGGUAUGCCUUACCUUACCUCUUUCCAGUCAUCACCAGAAAGUUAUGACUUAUAUUUUAUAUUUGAGUCGAAACAUGAGUAAAAUGAUCUUUAAUGCACCUAAGCCAUAAAUGUUAUAUUUGAGUUUCUACUUAAAGUGAGAUCCAAAUUUAGAUUUCAAUAUGAGGUUUGAGUUUUCAAUCUAACCAUCUUUAAUGCACAUAUUUAAAUUGUCAAAACUCAAUCCCAAUGGCGUAGCCACACCAAAGGCUACGGUGGGCUGUAGCCCAGGGAGAGUUAGUGCAUAGUCUAAUAUAAUAGACAAAAAAAAAAAAAAAAAACAAGUGGCAAGAAGAAUUAUUUUUUAAUGAAAUUGUUAACUACAUUGCAAUAUUUUGGGAAUUGAAGAGAAAAUCAAGAAGAAAGAUGAUCACGAACGGAUGAACACAGAGAGUUUUAGAGAGAGUAUAGAGAGAGAAAUAUGCUUUUGUAUUGACUGAUAAAAUGAAGGUUACACACACUGUCUUUAUAAGAGAAAGCCUAACUACUCUAACCAAAUACUAACAAACUUACUAACUAUAUUGCUGACUUGUACACUUAAUACUCCCCCCUCGAUCUCAACUGGGGUAUCCCAGUUUGAGAUUGCAACAAAGUCUCAAAUAGCAAACACUGAAAUAUGGGCAAAUGGACUCACUGCAGAGUGUUCUUGUUCCAGUUUGACUUUGGUGAUGAUUUCUGAUUGCAAAGGGUUUCGUUGCCCCUGAGAUUGUAGCAAUUGAGCUUGUUUUUGCUCCUCAUUUUCUUCUCAACUGCGGUCCCACAAACAUGAACCUAAAUCCAUACUUAAAUUGACAGGUGUCCAUACUCAAACAUGCUACUUGCAUAGAUGCUACUUGCUCACUAAACUGACAAGUAUUCAGAACCUAAAUCCAUACUCGAGAACGGUGCAAUUUCAAUUUGGUUCUUCCCCAAGAAUUUCAGCCCUUCAAAUUGAUCUACACCUCCCGCAGAAGCUUCAAUCAAAGAACAAUCUCUUAUAAAGUUGUAACAGACCCUCAUGCUGGUUAUAACAAUUUCUUGCGAGAUUACCCUUCGUGGGAUUUACCAUCAACAACUUCAUUUAACAUUGGCUCCGGCCUUUAAAACAGAAAAUUAACAAACUAUAGUGUGGCAUCGACCUUAACUAUAGUACCACGAAAUCGCCAUUUGUGGAUUUUACCAAAAAACAACUACUCUUAACAAUGGCAUCAGCCUUCACAAUUUCAAAAACAAAAAAUCAACAUCUAUGUAGGAUUACCUUUCGUGGGAUUUACCUACUAACAUCAUGGAAUUACCUUUCGUGAGAUUUACCGUUAACAACUUCUUCUAUCCUUCAUGGGAUUUACCAUUUACAACUUCUUCAAACUUCAUCGUAUAACUAGACUUACUGUAGAUUCAUGCUAACAACUGAGUUGGUUAGACUCGACAUUAUAGGUUGAGAUAAGGGAAAAUUACUGCACAAACUCCUCAACAAAAUUGCAGAAAAACAAUGAAGCAGAGAAACAAGAAUUGGAUACUGCAAAACUUCUUGAAUAAUUCGACAAUGAACAUAAGAAUCCAAGAAUCCAUACCCAUUUCGCCAAACAUAUUAAGAUUUGCAGAAAAAUUGAGAGCAUAAACCCAUAGAAAAGUCCAAUCAAAGCAGCAAAGACCAACACAAUAAAAAACUUGAACAUCCCAGCCAUAGUAACUAUUGAGAGAAUAUUGCACCAUAUAACUGAAAAGAAGGAAGUUGUCCCCAUCCAAACUAAGCUAUCAAAGCCCCUUGAGGUGCAAUCCAACCAGGCCAUUGAUAAAAGAAACAAUAUACUCCCAAACUGCAUAAGCCACUUCAAAACAAAUGGAUAUGCCUGCUCAAACUUUGUUUUGACAUAAUCACGGGCAUACAGUGCCUUACUUCCAAAGAAAACUCAAAUUGGUGUGCCACUUUCCAUAAUCCAACAAUAUUCUUGAAAUUUGGAGCACACAGAAACACGAAUACCCAAAUUUUGAACAAAUAUACUUCCAAACAAAAACAUAAGCCACAACCAAGUAGUAGAACCGUAAUUCUUAACCAUCAACAAAAACUUGAAAAACCCAGAAAAGAUCCAUUCUAAUUGUUCAAGAAUUCAGAGAAAAAGGGGCUGAAAACAUAACCUUCAAAUGAAACUUGUGAGCUAAGACUUUCUUCAAACACCUGGACUGUAUUAAGCAUUUAUGCCAAAACCAUUCCUCAAAAGAUCAACCAUAUCGUUCUUCAUCGUCUUUAUAUUUAAUACAUCUUGUUAUCUGAGGAUUGACUCACAAUAUGCUGAGAAAAAGCCUUGUGCCGAGAAGAAUCUCUCCAAGGAGGUCGCUGGCGAGAAGAAGAAGAAGAGAUCGAACUAAGUGACGAACACAAAGAAGAAGAAGAAGAAGAAGAAUCUCCCCAGUGGUAGUAGUAAUAGCAGUAGCAGUCACCGAUUGGGAUGAAAUGAUUCCACUAGAUCCAAAAUAAAAAUUGGUUGACACCCCAUCUUCUUUCCUUGUAUCAAGAACUCGAUGAAAUUUUCCAUUUUUCAAUAUUUCAUCUUUGUCAUCCCCAAUGGUGACUUGCUCAUCUUCUUCCUCCCACCAAGAGAAACCACAAAAGGUUCAAUUCUCGUUGGACUCUGCUGCGUACGAAAACCUCUAAGAAAUUGGCUCUGGCGACAAAACUUCAUCAAGAAGCACACCAGACCCGAAAUCUUGUCCAUGGCCAACGCUGGUCCUAAAACCAACGGUUCUCAGUUCUUCAUCUGUACCACCAAGACUAAGUGGCUCGAUGGCAAGGCUGUCAUCAACAAGGCUGUCUGCAUCCCCAUGAACUCUGCAAUUGUCGUAAUCAAGUCCGUCGACCUCGACCAAUCCACGACCGAUUUCGAGAGCAAGCUACGCGACUACCCCAAGAACGAUCAACCCAACAAGAACAAUCAACCAAAACAAUCGCAACAAUCGUAGAAAGAUCAACCCAAGAACAAUCACGGAAGCACCGAAAAUCUAAUGGAAAUUUGAAGAGAAACUAAACUAGGAAAAAAAAUGUAAAUUACUACGAAGAGAAACCACCAGAAUCCAUGGCGUGAGCCUGGUGAUUCUGAUACCAUUUUAAUUACAUUGCAAUAUUUUGGGAAUUGAAAAGAAAAUCAAUAAGAAAUAUGAUCACAGAAGGAUGAACACAGAGAGUUUGAGAGAGAGAGUAUAGAGAGAGAAAUAUACUUUUGUAUUGACUGAUAAAAUGAAGGUUACACACAUUGUUUUUAUAAGAGAAAACCUAACUACUCUAACCAAAUACUAACAAACUUACUAACUGUAUUGCUAACUAUAUUUCUAACUGUAUUGCUGACUUGUAGACUUAAUAGAAACUAGCACAGGGAGUAUUUAGCACAACUAGAAAUAUAAAACUUAUCAUGGAAAUUGUGAUGCCAUUUUAUUCAAAAUUAUUCUACUUGGAUUCAGUAGGCUUUAUAUUAGUUUUAAUCAAUUGUUUUAAGAUUGCCUUUACAUCUACUUUCAUUGUUUUGAUUUGUGCUAGUUGUAUGAUUGUAAUUGAGAUGUCAAGUUUUUUUUUCUUCUUCUUGUGUUUGCAUCUAAAUAUAUGUAAAUUUGAUGAUUCAUUGUAAUUUUUGCGGUAUGCAAAUGGCAAGCUUGUUGAGUUUAUGCCAAGUAAAUUUUGAGUACACAAAUACAUAAGUUAAACUUAAAUUUUUGCAUACAAUAUGUAUGUAGCCAAUAUAUAUAUAUAUAUAUAUAUAUAGACAUACAAUAUGUAUGUAGCCAAAAUAUAUAUAUAUAUAUAUAUAUCAUUUGAUUUUAGAGUAAUUUUUUUAAGUGAUUAUUAGGUUCACAUCAUUCUUUUUGUUACUCCAUUAAUUAAAAUCCUAUUAAUUUUCAAUUUUUGAUCAAGGUCCUUGGGUAUUAAUAACAUCAUUAAUUAUUUGAAUAAUAAAAUAUUUUUAUUUUUAAAUAUAUUCAUUUAGUGUUAAAAAUGUUACAAUUAGUAUAUUUAUAUUUAUGGCUAAAUUUUUUAUCAUAUAUUUUUAUUUUUAGUUUGUACCUAUUUUUAAUUUGCAAAUAUUUUUUAAUUUGUACCAAUUUUCUUUUCAUUUUUAAUUUGUACCCAUAUAUUAAUUUCUUUUUGUGCUCAAUUUUUUAAAGUUUUAUUUGUGUUUGUACCCAUGUGUAUACCGUCACGUGACAUUGUAUAUUUAAUCAAUGAUAGAAAAUUUACAUAUGGUAUAUUUAUGUUUUAUGCCUAAACUUUUUAUCAUAUAUUUAUAUUUUUAGUUUGUACCCACUUUUAAUUUCCAACAUUUUUUUUAAAUUUGUAGUAUUUUCUUUUUAGUUUUAUUUUGUACCCAUGUAUUAAUUUCUUUUAGCACCUAUAUUUUUUUUUAAAUUCAUUUGUACUCAUAAUUUUUUAAUCUUUUAUCUGUACCCUAAAAAUUCAUUUGUAGUAUUUUCUUUUUAGUUUAUAAUGUACUCAUUCUUCUUUAUUAAUGUAUCACUUUGUUAUAUGUGAAAUGUACCUAAUUUUUUUUGUAAAAUGUACCAAUUUUUUAAACACUAUGGAUACAUUCUUUUGCCAUUUAUUAUUUCUUAUUUUUACAUAGUUUUUAUCCAUUUAUUAAAUUAAAAUGUUUGAAUUUUUUUAUUGUAACUGUUUCUAAUAGUAUUAUAAUAAGGGAUUUUAAAUUUAUAGGAUUAUAAAUCUCAUAAAAUAUCAAACAAUUAAUGUCAAAACUAUAAAAAUAUUAAUAUUAAUAGUAAUAUAAUAAGGUGUACAAAGUCAAGGGACUUUGAUCAAACUUUGAAUAUUAUUAAGAUUUUAAUUAAAGAAUGUUAAGGAUUAAGGACCGCAUCCAAAGUAUUCCAUUUAUUUUUUGUUUAUUGUUCUUGUUUGAAUGAAGGCAGCCAAAGUCGUUUUCACCUGUAGCCCAAGCUUCUGGUUUUGUUAAUUAUUUGGUACAAUACCCAGGAAAUUACAGUAAUCAUAUUUUAUGUUCAUGUUCUUCAAAUAAUUUCAAAAAACUGCUGUGAUUAAUGAAAUCAUAUAUUUCGCUGCAUUGACCAUGUGCGGAGUUUAUGUUUCUGUGGAAUUUGAUAAGCUUGUAUGUGUUUUGUAUUAAUUAUAUUGAAAGAAAGACAAGAGACAACGUAUAUAUGCAAAGAGAGAAGGAACAGACUCCUUCAAUCAUGCCCAAGCUACUGACUUCUUCCCUUAAAUUAAGGGAUUGAUUACUGACUUUUACAGAGAUAUGGACGCCACUCUACUAACCUAUCUUCUAAGAUGGGACGCUGCACCUUGUUUAAUUAUAUUGAAAGAAAGACAAGAGACAACGUAUAUAUGCAAAAGAGAGAAGGAACAGACUCCUUAGAUCAUGCCCAAGCUACUAACUUAUUCCCUUAAAUUAAGGGAUUGAUUACUGACUUUUACAGAGAUAUGGACACCACUCUACUAACCUAUCUUCUAAGAUGGGACGCUGCACCUUGUUGCAGGAAAUAAGGAAACUAACUUGCUGUACCUUGUUGCAGGAAACAAGGAAACCAUUUGACCAGAGGAUAAAAGACCCCAACUAGACGCUAACUAUUAUUUACUUCCAAUAGUUUCGUUGUUCUCUUUCGUGAUAUUAUAAUGCACAACUGGUUGCCGGCACAACUUGCCUCUCAAAGCAGUUUUGCAGGUAGCGCCCACGAGUUCUUGUUGACAUGUCACAUGUCUGCGCAGCUGGCAACAUACAUACCACGCACUAGACAUGCAGAUAUACCGUGUACAGUUCCUUUCUAAGGCUGGGGUUGAAGUUCUCAAACACUGCGUCUAAACAGGAGAUGAUUGCAUUGGAUGAGCAAAAAAUUGUUUUUUUAGUGCUACUGGCAGUAGGGAUGCUUCAGGGAAGAUUCACUAAGCCUAGAUAUAGAUACUAGUUGAAAGCAAAGUAAACGAGGGUUCAGAAGAGAAGUGUGGUACAUUGCUGUCCAUUUUAACUUUAAGUGCGUUCAAAUCAGUAAUACAUGAACAUCAAAAUUACCGGAAAAAAAAAAAGAAUAAGUUUGAAAUGAGAACACCAAGUACAAAAUCAAUUGGAAAUGAGUGGAGUGCCCCAAAAUCUUAUGUGUUAUAUUAUUCGGAUAAUUUGUUUGAGGCUAUAUGUUAUGUUGAUGCACAAAAUCAGUGAGGAUUUUGGUACAACAGAAAGUGUUAAGUUUAUGACAUUCGCUAGAUUGCUCCGGUUAUUAGUGUGGAUAAGUAUGUAAAUGGAUAGAGACAUGAAAGCAAACACAAGAUGUACGCGGUUCACCCAAAUUGGCUACGUCCACGGAGUAGAGGAGUUCUCAUUAAUUGUGAAGGGUUUACACAAGUAAGUAAGUUCAAGCUGUCAUUUUGUGAGUACUAGUGAAUGAUUUAGUACAAAUGACAUUAAGAAAUAUUGUGAGAGAAUGAUCUCUAUUUAUAGAAGAGAGUUUCUAGUUUCAUUUUGACAUUGGCACGUGUCGUGCUGUGAUUGGUUUCUGAUGUCGACACGUGUCGUGUUAUCAUUGGCCUCUGAUGUUGACAUGUGUCUCGUUGUGAUUGGCCUCCUGGUUGAAGGGAGACUCUUGUGGGUCCUUGGCGGUAUAAUGUUGACCGAUGCUUAGUAGUUUUGAGGUUGGUCAAGUAUGGUACAAACAGUGUUACCCUAAGUUCCUGAGUGAGGGAAGCUUCUCGGUUAGGAACUUGCAAGAUCCAAGCCAUUGAGUAAUCACGAAACUUCUAAGUACCGAAGUGUGGUAUCGUUUUUACUUGCCUUAUUUGUCUCAUAGGUAGAUGUGGCAUCUUCUCUUGAAGUACUUUUCCUCCAUCCAAGAAUGGUAUCUCUAACCGGUGGAGAUGCACAAGGUAAUGUAUCAAUUUCACUUGAAGCAUACUUGUAGUUUCGGGCUUGGUCAAGCGCGAUACAAACCCUAUAGUGGGAGUCCCCCAAGUCUCUGAGUGAGAAGGUCUGCCGAAUGAGGUAACAGACAAGGUAAACAAUCAAACUUCCAAGCAAGCAACCUGGAUCGGAGGUUCGACUUCUGCUUCCGGUUGAUUGUUCUCCUUCUCCUUGUGCCGAAAACAGCAACAAGGAUAUGGAGAAGAGAUGAUAUGAGAUACUUUUGCUUUUGAAAAAGUAACUUUCCACAAGCUUAUUCUUAAACUGGGCUGGAUGGUUUUUUGGUUUCCUCCAGAGUAUAAGGCCGACUCAAGAAUUUGAGGGUCAAAACAAGUCCAUCAAAUCUAGAGUACUUUCGACCCUAAUGAUAUGGGAUACUUUUGCCGUCGACAAAGUAGUGGGUGUGGUAUGGCGAGGCUUUACUCUUUGGUGAUGGUGUCAGUGAAAGGUUGUUGAAGCUUCUCGAGUUAUUCAGAUAGGGCAGCGAUGCAGGGUUUGGAUUUGAUUUAGACUCUUCUGUCUGGGUUGUAUGGUUCUGCAGGAAGGGCAUCGUGCUGUAGUGAUAUGUUCCAGCUCAUCAUUGAUCAUUCUGCUUCAAUCUUUUACAGCAUUUGUCCCUGAUGCAUGAGUGGAAUGCAACAUUUGCAUUUAAAUGGUCCUUUAGAGCACUACUUCUCAGCGACUUAUCCAUGCGUGGCAGCUUCAGUGUAAAGCGUCAAUAUCAUAUCAACUAUUCUGAGGUAUUUGCCAAAGGACUUCGUGACCUUGACAACAGUUGAGGAUGAGUACUCAAGAGCAAUGUUAGGUAAACAACCAUGCAAAGAUUCCAGGCAAUCAAUUCCAGAUUGGAAGUUUGAUUUCAGGUUCUGACUAAAUGCGUUUUUUCUCCUUGUCCUGCAGGUAAGAGCAAGGGCAAAGGAAAAGACAUGGAAAAAGCAUGAUAUGGGAUACUCUUUCUUUUAACCCUGAUGAUAUGAGAUACUCUUGCUCUGGUGUGGCUUGUUUGCAUAGAUAUUAUCGGGGGGGGGGGGGGGGGAAGAAGUUGAGUAUUUCGAGAGACUCUGCUGGAAAUGCCCUCUCAGAUGUGAAUAAAAGUUGAGCAUUUUUUUUUAUUUGUAGGUAUGCCUGGCUGUGAAGGAUGGAGGUCGACAUAUAUAGGAAUUGUUUCAACAACGGGUAGUAAUGUUGUUCCUUUACCCUUCUCGGUCAUAGCAAUGUAGUAGGAGCUGCAACAUUCACGUGUUUUAACUUUGUCAUAUCACUUUGAAAAAAAUGGUAUGUGGUAUCUGGAAAGCUGAUGUUGCGUGUGAAGAUUGCAUACAAGCUUUAUCCAAGGAAAUCUGGCUCUCAAAGUUCGGAAAGCGAUGCCUCUUCGAUUUUCGAACAAGCAAUCCUGUUGGGGAUCUGGCUCUCGAGAUUCGGAGAGCGUUGCCUCUUCGAUUUUUGAGAAAGCAAUCCUGGUGGGAGUCUGGCUCUCGAGAUUCAGAGAGCGGUGCCUCUUCGAUUUUUGAGAAAGCAAUCCUGGUGGGAGUCUGGCUCUCGAGAUUCGGAGAGCGAUGCCUCUUCGAUUUUUGAGAAAGCGAUCUUGGUGGGAGUCUGGCUCUCGAGAUUCGAAAAGUAGUGCCUCUUCGAUUUUUGAGCAAGUAAUCAUGUUGGGAGUGUUUUCUCGAUGUAAGUAAAAGUUAGGCAUUUUUUCCAGUUUUGCCUUGCCACGGAGCACAGAGGCUGACACACAUAGGGACUUUCCAGUUACCAAGCAGUGGUGUUGUUCCUUUGCCCUUGUGGGUAAUGGUAGGGUAGCUAGACUUUCAAAAUUUAUGUGUCUAAACUUUGUCAGAGAUCUUUGGCAAAGUUAUAUGUGGUACCCGAGAAGCUGAUGUUGCGUGUGGGGAUUGUUGACAUAUUUUACUCAGGAAAAUCUACUUCUCAAAAUCCGGAGAGUGGUGCCUCUUCGAUUUUUGAACCAACGGCCCAGUUGCCCUUUCUUUUAUAGGGGCACCAAUUGUGUGUAAGAAGUACGUUCAGAGAGUUAUAGCUUGUAUGAAUUUUCCCCUUAUUUUUGUACUUCAGAGAUUUAUUGCACCUCAUUUCUCCUUCAUCAUUUCUGAGAAUGUCUGGCUCAUCUGACCAUCGUUUUGACUUGAACUUUGGUGAAGAGGCAGCCAUACCUUCUCAAGACAACAUAUGGCGCCCAUCCUUCUUAUCCCCUACUGGUCAUUUUACCGUUGGGGACUCUGUGGUGAAGAAUGAUAUGACAGAUGCGGUGGUGGCCAGGAACCUUCUCACUCCCAAAGAUAACAAACUACUUUCCAAACUGUCUGAUGAGUUGGUUGUUAAGGAUUCUCUGGCUCUUAGUGUUCAGUAUGCAGGUUCUGUGUCUAAUAUGGCCCAACGCCUAUUUGCUCGAACCCGCCAAGUUGAAUCAUUGGUGGCUGAAGUGAUAAGUCUCAAACAAGAUAUCAGAGGGCUCAAGCAUGAGAAUAAACAGUUGCACAUGCUUACACAUGACUAUGCUACAAACAUGAAAAGGAAGUUUGAUCAGCUGCAGGAAUCUGAUGGUCAGAUUUUACUUGAUUAUCAGAGGUUUGUGGGUGUGUUCCAAAGACAUUUAUUGCCUUCGUCUUCUGGGGUUGUACCGCGUACUGAACCUCCAAAUGAUCAACCUUCGGUGCCUCCUCCUUCUAGGGCUCUGCCCAGUACUGAGGCUCCUAAUGAUCACCCUCUGGUGCCUCCUCUUCCUGGGGCUCUACCGACUGUUGAGACUUCUUCUGAGCAACCUUUGUGAAGGCUCCCUCUUGUUUGUUUAUUUUGAUUCAUGUAUAUGUACAUAUUUGUAACUUAUCGGAGAUAUCAAUAAAUAAUCUUUGCUUCAUUUCAACGUAUUGUGUUAAAUACACCAAGGCUUCCUUCGCUAAGUUCUUUGAAUAUUUUUUUUUGUUGAAGCUUGUAUUUUGAAGCUUUGUGAGUGAAGCAUGUAGGUUGAGGUAAUGCUCCCUUAAUUUCCCAAGUGAGGAAAACUUCUCGGUUGGAGACUUGAAAAUCCAAGUCACUAAGUGGUCGUGAGACUUCCGAGUAUCAAGGUGCAAUAGCAUAUGGUAGGAGUCCCCCAAGUCUCCGGUCGAGGGAGUUGACGAAUGAGGUGUCUUGCUAGUAGCCAAGUUUCCAAGGUAAAAAAACUUCACCAUUUUCCUUUCUAAGUGGUAGCCCAAAACUCCUCUUUCAUAUAUAUUUGUUAUAAAAGUUGUUAGGCCCAAAGAAAAGGAGGCCUAGGCAAUUUUUUUUUUUUUGAAUUUUCGAAUUUUCGAAUUUUUGAAUUUUUGAAUUUCCGAAAAAAAAAAAUAUAUAUAUAUAUAUAUAUAUAUAUAUUUUAAGCUUUAUAGGUGAAGCUUUGAGGUUGAAACUUUGUUGGGUACCAUGAAUUGAUUUUGCUUCACACUAUCUUGAUCAAGAUAGUGUGAAACUUUUGUGUUGAAGCUUUUGUGGUGGGUGAAGCUUUUGUUGGUGAAGCUUUUAUGGGUGAAGCUUUUGUUGGUGAAGCUUUUGUUGGUGAAGCUUUUAUAGGUGAAGCUUUUGUUGGUGAAGCUUUUGUUGGUGAAGCUUUUAUGGGUGAAGCUUUUGUGUUGAAGCUUUGUAGGUGAAGCUUUGGAGUUGAAGCUUUGUAGGUGAAGCUUUUGUGUUGAAGCUUUUGAGAAUUUGUAGUUGUCCUCCAUUGAUGAAGCUUUUGUUGGUGAAGCUUUUGUGGUGAAGCUUUGUUGGGUACCAUGAAUUGGUUUUGCUUCACACUAUCUUGAUCAAGAUAGUGUGAAGCUUUUGAGAAUUUGUAGUUGUCCUCAAUUGAUGAAGUUUUUGUUAGAUUUCCCUUUUUUUUUUGUUUUUUGUUUUUUUUUUUUUUGGAAAAACUAGAAAUUUGUUGAAUUUCCCAAUUUCCUUUUUUUUUUUUUUUUGGGAAACUAGAAAUUUGAAAAUGUGGGAGAGACAACAUAUACAAAUUUUGCUUCCAUACUAUUGAACAAGGGAUUGUGAUGCAAGCCACACCUUGUAGUAGUCGAAGGUUUGGAUGAACUAUAUAAAUUGAAUUUGCUUCGAACAGUCUUGAUCAAGAGUGUGUAAAGCUUUCUACGAGUUGUAAUUGCCCUUCAUUGAUGAAGCUUUUGUUGGCACCAUAAAUUGGUUUUACUUCACACUGUCUUGAUUAAGAGUGUGUGAAACUUUUGAGAAUUGUGGUUGAACUCCUUUGAUGAAGCUCUUGUUGGCACCAUAAAUUGGUUUUGCUUCACACUGUCUUGAUGAAGAGUGUGUGAAGCUUUUGAGAAUUGUAGUUGCCCUCCAUUGAUGAAGCUCUUGUUGGCACUAUAAAUUGGUUUUGCUUCACACUGUCUUGGUCAAGAGUGUGUGAAGCUUUUGAGAAUUAUCCUUUGAUGAAACUCUUGUUGGCACCAUAAAUUGGUUUUGCUUCACACUGUCUUGAUCAAGAGUGUGUGAAGCUUUUGAGAAUUGUGGUUGCCCUCCAUUGAUGAAGCUAAUGUGUUCACCUCCUCCCUCCCCCCCCCCUUUUUUAGGGGAAGAGAGGGUGCUGCAAGUUUGAAAUUUGAAAACUCCCUAACUUGUGUGGAAGUUUGAAGACUUUCUAUGUGGGGUUUUCUCAUGGUUUGAAUUUUGAAUUUUGAAAUUCUUUGGCCAUGUUGAACCCUAUAAGAAUGAUAAGUUUCCACUCUUUUCAUUGUCUUCAUUUGCUCAUUUUGUAGUGAUUUUUGGAGACAGAGUGCUCUUAUAGUUGAGAGGGAUUCCUGCAUUGCUUUGCACCAUCUUCAGGUUGGUAGUCUUCUCCACUAGAUCGCAUGCUUUCAUUCUUGUUGAAUUGUUUGAGUGUUCAUGUAUUUGUUUGAGAACAUAAUGAACUGAUUGAGCUUUUCUCCAUGCCCUAGGAACUUCCUUAUGUUUCGAUCUUUCAUAUGGUGAUAGAGUUUUUUUUUUGUUUGUUGUAGAUGUCAGAGUUUGGAAGUCCUAGUGAUGGGGCUCCCCUAACUCUAACUCUAGGUUUGAGCUUGCAAUGUUGGAGUCUUCAGGGCCUUUGUUGGAGUCUUGUACAAAAAAUUCGAGAUUGGGUGAUCUUCGCAAUUGUUAAGCCUUAGCCAAUAUUAGUUCUUCCUCCUUCAUGUCAGUGGGUGAGGGGGUUGUUUAUGACGCCAUACUCAUAUUUCACUCUAAGUUCACAGCAGACCAUUUAGUGCAAAACUUGUUAGAUAGCGAAAGCAGCUUGAGGCCCUAAGGCAGUCAUGUAGUAUCCCCCGUAAUGUAGGAAUACGUUUGGUGCAUCAUGAAGAAUUGUCUUCUGAACCGCCCAAGGGUCAUGUUAUGUUCUAUACCCAGAUAUUAUUGACUUUAGGGGUGAAACUGCAUUUGCACCCAUGGUUGCAACGAAUGCUGUCUUUCAUUGGAUAUGCGCAUGGGCAACUCUACCCUAGUUUUUGGGAUACCUUGAUCGGGUUUUAUAUUAUUUGGAUGGAAUGUGGGUUAGGUGAGCCUUCCUUUCAUCAGUGGCGCUACUGCUAUAAGAUGCGCCCGGUGAAAGCAUUCACUGGGUAUGCUGAGUGUGCAUGUCGGAGUGAGAGAUAACGUAUUGUCUUUCGUAAGAAAAAGGCGUAUUGCACUUGGAAAAACCGUUGGUGCUUUCUUUAUAAUGAUUGGGAGUAUGCUAAAGGUGUCACGCCUGAGCGAUGUGUUCCUACUCACUUCCAGACUAUAGGUUGUAAUGUAUCCAUUGUUUGCAUUAUUUGUUAUUUGUUGUGAUUUUCUCUUGCUUCUAACAUUUUUCUUCAUGCAGUGACGCGAUGGACCAUCAAGCUGUCUGGAUGGGAGCUAGCUGACGUAGAGAAGGUGUUGAGGGUGCCCAAAGAGGAUAGACAUUUGGGCAAGCUACGACCCUUAUUUCGAAAGUAUGGUUUCUAGCCCCUAGUGUCGGAGUGCCAAAGACGAGCAAGUAAGUUGUGUCUUUCAUUUCGCCCCUUUUUUAUUUUACAAAGUUGCAUUCCUUACUUUUAUUUUUCUUAUUCAGUGGAGAAAGUGGGCAAGAAAGGGGAGAUUAGCGCCAAGAAAGGGAAAUCACCCAUGUUAGUUCCCGUAGAUGACAUUUUGUUUCUCAAGGGAUCUCGUAAGCACCGAGUGAAGCCAACCCCUAAACCUAAGUCGCAAGAAGAGGUCCUCAAGAUUGCUGCCUCAAAGAAAGCUGAAGCUGAGGCCAUGGGUUGUGCUGCUGGCAUAGUUGCAGAGGAGGAGAGACGACUGUUGCCUCCUCUUCCUACCAUCGAUCCCAUAUUUCCUCCAACCAUGGAGUCUACUGACCAAGAAGGUGGCCCUAGCUAUAGUCGUAAGAGAAAGUACAAGGAAGAAGUUAGCAGCAUUAAUUGGAAGGACUUGAAGGUUGCCAUGCAACCAAGUAGUUUUAGGUAUGUCAAUAAUUGCCUGGCAAGACGUCGAUCCACUGUUGAUGAGCUUGGCGAGCCACUAGAUGAGAACGAAUCAGAUUGUGACCGGAUGAUGAUGCUAUCUUCUUAUGUAAGUGUUACUCUGUCAUUUCUUUGUUUUCUCCCCUCUUUUUCCUGGUAGUGACGAUCAUCUUGUCAUGUAGGUCUUGACCGAGUACGAUGAUAAAUUACGAGAGGUCGAGCGGUACAAGGCAAAGUUUGAAGAGAAUAAGCAGCUUGUGAAUGACGCCAGAAAAACGAGCAAAGCUUUGGCUGAUGCCAUCCGCCUUAAGGAUGAAAACUUUGAGAGUUUGAAGAGGCGGAAUGGUGAAAACGUAAGGCUUAAGAAACAAUUGGAAGCGACUAAGGAACAGUUAGAGACAACCAUCCUUGAGCUUUCCAAGGUAUAAGGGGAGUUAGAUAAUGCCUUGGUUGAGGUUUCUAGGCUGAAGAGAAGUAUCCCAACUGAUAGGGAUGCUGCUGUGCUGGAGUUCUUAGGUUCCCAGGCCUUUCACGAUGCCUUUAAACCUCACUGCAUCCAGGCGGCUAAUUUUGAGAAAAGGAAAUGGAUGGCCAUCCUUGAGUGUUACGACAAUGGAAGCAUUAUCCGAAAGUACCGUGAUGAGAUGGAUAAGUACCGACAAAAGGGUGAAGCCUUCAUCCUCGCAGUUGAUCCUAGUAGUGAUGAUGACUCUGAUAAUGAGGCUAGCAUCAGUGAGCAGUCUCAGGAGAGUGAGGAUGGUCCUGGAGAUGCUGAGGAAAGUGGUGAUGGCGAUGGGGUUGAAAUGCAGAGUGAUAUUGUCAGGGGUUCGACCUCAGAUGAUGAUAACUCGUAGUGCCCUCUUUUUCUGCAUGUACUCUGGAUGUACGAGUUUGUUGUUUGUGUGGCAUGUGCCAUGUACUCUGGAUGUACUAGUUUGUUGUUUGUGUGGCAUGUGCCAUGUACUAUGGAUGUACUAGUUUGUUGUUAAUUACCAAGUAUUUUCACUAUCAUUGAUGAAGGCCUGGCUAUGUUUGAGCAAAUCCUUUGUUUAGAUAUAAGCCAUAACUUGGGUCAGAUUGAACGAAUAUACUGUGGAGCUGUUCGUUUAUUUGUAUAGUCUUGUUGACAUAUACUUAGACUUGAUUUCUUGUUGGAAGCAUUCAUGUUGAAGCUUUGAACCCGCGUGUUUCAUUGCUAGGAAUGGAAGAGGAUUAGGAUCGAGUUGUCUAAAUCACCUAUUUAUUGAAUUCAUGCCAAAUAGUCUUCGUUACAUAGGAUGCCGAAUGGCUGAAGUUUAACACUUGUACAAUGUGAGUUUACUUGUAAUAGUACUUCAAGUGAUCAGCAUUCCAUGGAUGGCCAAGGGUCUUGCCAACAACUUCAAACGGUCCAUCCUAGUUUGGACUAAGUGUUCCUUCACUCGGGACUCUGUCGUAGAGUAAUCUUUUCUUCAAUACCCAGUCCCCCACUUUGAAAGAACGAGGUUUGACCCUCGAGUCAUAGUAGUUGGAGAUGCGCUGCUUGUAGGUGACAUUCCUCAAAUGAUCUUGGUUUCUGUGUUCCUCGACUAGAUCUAAGUUGAGGGUAAGUUGUUUGUCAUUUUCGCUUUGCACGUAGUUCUAGACUCGAAACAUUGCUUGCUCAAGCUCAACUAGGACAACUGCCUCUGUACCAAAGGUAAGUGAGAAUGGGGUUUCCCCUGUUGAUGUCCAAUAUGAAGUGCGGUAUGACCAAAGAACUUAGGGUACAAAUUCUGGCCAACAACCUUUAGCCUUGUCCAAGCUGGUUUUCAAAGUUCGCUUGAUUAUUUCGUUGAUGCCUUCAACUUGUCCAUUAGAUUGGGGAUGAGCUGGGGAUGCAAAACAUAAGUUGAUGUUGAACUUAGAGCAUAACAUCCUGAACUUAUUGUUGUCGAACUGUCGCCAUUUAUCAGUGACUAUCGCAUUGGGAAUGCAGAAUCUGCAAAGGAUGUUCUUCUAUACGAAGUCUUCUAUUUUUGCCUCAGUAAUGGUUGCCAAGGGUUCUACUUCGGCCCACUUUGUGAAGUAGUCAACUGCAACGAUUGCAUAGUAAACCUUGCCUUUCCCUACAAGCAUUGGGCCGAUUAAAUCAAGUCCCCAUUGGUAAAAGGGCCAAGGGCUGAUCAUAAGAGUGAGCGGCUCGGGAGGGGAAUAAGGAAUAGUUGCGUUUCGCUGACACUUAUCACAUGAGGGGGAUAUUCUGAUGGCAUCUUGGUGGAGUGUUGGCCAGUAAUAUCCUUGGCGAAAAGCCUUAUGUGCUAGGGAUCGAGAUUCAGCAUGAUCUCCGCAGACACCUUCAUGUAUUUCCCGAAGGACAGUUUCUGCCUCUGCAGGCGUAAGGCAUCUUAGUUAUGGUAGGUUAAAACCCCGUUGGUAGAGUUGGUCAUUAAUGAUCAAGUAACGGGUAGCCUUGUAUCGAAUCUUCUUAGCUUGGACUUUGUCAUUUGGAAGGGUGUCAUGAGCAAGGAAUCUAUAAAUCGGGGUAAUCCAAAUAUCCCCUUGUUGUAAGUUGCACACUUCCGCAGCCAUGGUGCUUGGUGCUGCCAACAAUUCGACCUGAAUUUUUCUCCCAAUCUUGUCUUCCACCGCUGAAGCAAGGCGAGCCAAAGCAUCUGCAUGACCACUCGAGGAAUUUGGGUGAUCUGGUAGUGGAAGUGCUUAAGAAACAAUUGUGUUUGUGCCAGAUAUGCUGCCAUGGAGCUAUCCUUAGUGUCAAAGUUGUUGGUGACCUGGUUAACCACAAAUUGGGAGUCAGUGAAGAUAUCAAUUCGUUUAACCCCAAGGUGUUUGGCCAAACGUAAGCCUGUUAGGAGGGCUUUAUAUUCGGUCUCAUUGUUUGACGCCUUAAAUUUGAAACAAAGAGCAUACUCCAUCGCCAUUUUGUCAAGGGUCGUAAGGACUAGUCCUGUUCCAAAACCUUGUUGGUUAGACGAGCCAUCAACAUAUAAACUCCAUGCUAGGGCUGUUGGUUCUAUUUCUGAGCUUCCGAGGGUAAUAAAACCACUUCUUUAAGCGUAGAAACAAUGUCAACAGGAUAUGUGAAGUCGGCGAUGAAGUCUGCCCCUACUUGGCCCUUCUCAGCUGGCUUUGGUUGAUAGGAGAUGUCAAACUCACCCAAUGCUAUCGUCAAUUUUAUCAUUCGCCCCGAAGUGUCAGGACUUUGAAGUAUCUGUCGAAGAGGAUGAUUGGUAAACACGAUGAUGGAGUGUGCUUGGAAGUAAAGACGAAGUUUUCGAGCAGACAUUACCAAUGCUAAAGCCAAUUUCUCAAUGUUGGGGUAUCGUGUCUCUGCAUCUUGUAAGGCUUUGCUAGCGUGGUAAACAGGCCGUUCGACAUUACCAUCCUUUCGAAUGAGAACAAAACUUACUGCUGAAGCUGAUACCGACAGAUAGAUAAUGAGAAUGUCACCAACCUCAGGUUUGGAAAGCAAAAAGGCUUUACUCAUGUAGUUUUUUAGGUUCUUGAAUGCCUCGGCACAUUCAUCAGUCCAUGUAAUGUACUUCUUACUUCCUUUAAGUGCUUUGAAGAAAUGAGCACAUCUGUCUGUGGCCUAAGAGAUGAACCUAGUUAAGGCUGCCACCUUGCCAAUAAGGUUCUGGAUGUCUUUUGAAGUUACUGGUUCCUUCAUGUCGAGGAUUGCUUUGAUCUUCUCGGGAUUAGCCUCAAUGCCUCGUUUGCUUAUCAUGAAGCCUAAGAAUUUGGCAGAGCCUACGCCGAAGGCACAUUUGUUGGGGUUCAACCUUAUUCGAUACCUCUUCAGAAUGGUGAAAGUUUCAGAUAGGUUGGUGAUGUGUUGAUCAGCAUGUUUGCUCUUGACUAGCAUAUCAUCAAUGUAAACUUCCAUGCUCUUCCCAAUCUAUUCGACAAACAUUGAAUUGACCAGUCUCUAAUAAGUCGCUCAUGCAUUCUUUAGGUCAAAGGGCAUGACUUUAUAGCAAUAUAGUCCCCUGUCAGUAGUGAAGGCUGUGUGUUCUUGGUCCGGAGGGUUUAUGAGGAUUUGGUUAUAUCCUGAGUAAGCAUCCGUGAAGCUCAGGAGUUUACACCCUGUCGUAGAGUCUAUAAGUCUGUCUAUGAGAAGAAGAGGAAAGCUAUCCUUCGGGCAUCCUUUGUUUAGGUCGGUGUAAUUGACACACAUUCUCCAUAAGACCUUUUGGAGCAGAAGACUUUCCUUAGUCGGAUUCUUCUUAACAAAUACAACAUUUGCUACCCACGUUGGAUAAUUGACUUCGCGGACGAAGCCUAUACCUUUGAGUUUUUCAACUUCUGCUUUCAUUGCCUCGUACCGUUCAGCGUCAUAAGAUCUUCAUUUCUAUCUCACUGGCUUGGUCUUAGGGUCAAUACUUAAGCGAUGAGAGAUGAUAUCGGGAGAGAUGCAUGACAUGUCCUCAUAUGACCAGGAGAAGACCUCAAUGUUCUCUUGCAAAAAAGAGAUCAAUGCCAACCGAAUGGGUGGUGACAAAGUGGUGCCAAUCUUCACCAUGCGAUCCGGAUAAUCUUUUGAGAUAGAGACAUUCUCCAACUCUUCAGCGGGUUGUGUUUGCUAGGUGAAAGAGUCAUUUCGAGGAUCGUCGGGUUGACUGUUGCCACCGUGAAGAUCCAAGUUGGCUUCAACUGGGCUGGUCUUUAUGACUUAGUCAUGUAUAGAAAAGGUUUCCUUGGGCACAAGCAGGUGUUGUUGCUUGAUUGAAGUGUUGUACAUGACCGUGCACUAAGUUGAUCUCCUUUGAUGUAACCAUUGCCAUAAGGGGUUGCAAAUUUCUUCAACAACAUAUGUGUGGAUACCAAGGCCUUGAGAUUAUUGAUGCCUAUGCGUCUAAAAAUGACAUUGUAUGCCGUUGGGCAAUCAACUACCAGGAAGUUAGUGGUAAUGGUAGCUGUGUAAGGGCCUGUACCAAUGGUGAAAGGUAAGUGUAUGCUCCUUAUAGGUUACACGAUAUCACCGAAGAAGCUUAUCAGAGGAGAAAUCUAGCAAUCGAGCAAGUGUUUAGCUACAUUAAGUGCCAUGAAAGCUUCAACAAACAUGAUAUUGACCGAAGCCCCCAUGUCUACCAAGAUUCGUCUUACUUCAAAGUUGGCUAUGUGAGCCUCCACGAUUAGUGGGUCGUUGUGAGGGUAUAUGAUACCUCUUUCUUCCUCAGGGUAGAAACAUAUUGGAUCCCAGUUAGGCUUUUGAUACUUGCCUCCUCUAAUGUCUUCCACGUGAAACACUUGGUGGCCAGGCCUUAAAGCUCGUUCGCUGUUUUUCAUGGCCCUAUUGGAAGAUUCAGAUAUGGGUGUGCCGCCGCUUAUGGAAUAUAUCACAUUCACUUAGCGUUGGUUAUGGUUAUCCUUUGAAGGGUGAAUGAGGAAUCGAUCAAUUUUUCCUUCACGCGCCAAAGCUUCAAUAUGAUCACGAAGGGUGAUACACUUCUUGCCGUCAUGGCCGUUAUGUUCGUGAUAGCAGCAAAACGUGCCCGUGUUCUUCGUGGGCUUGUAACCCGACUGCCUCGGCAGUGGUUUCAGUAUCAGGUGUGCUAUGCUGGGGUAAAUGGUCACGCAUGUGGCGUUCAAAGGCGUGUAUGUCUCAUACCUCGGGGUAGAGCAUGUCCUGACACGUGCUUAGCCUACUGUGUUGACUGCCUGUGGGCGGGCAUUAUCGUGGCGAUACCCCUAGUUAUUCCGAUAGUGUCCCUUACUCAUUUUACUAAAAUGGGACUAGUGAGGAUGGAAAUCUUUCCUUUUGCCCUGAGAUUGAUAUGUCUGUUGACUUAGCGAAGUAUUAAGUAAGGCAGGAGGAAGCACUGUUACUGUUUGGAAGGUCGAGGUCUUCUCAUUUGGUUGGAUCUGGCUUCCACUCCCUACUUGCUGAUAAGCGAUGGCUGUGGGGGGUUUCCUUUGAUAUGUCCUUGCCUCAGCGGAGGCAUGGUUGUAAGCUUGUGCCAUCACCUCAGAGUAAGUAUUCCAAGUGUUGGCAUUGAUCAUGUAUUUGAAGAAACAAUCACGUAAGCCUAUCGUGAAAGCUUUGAGGGCAGUCUUGUCGUCUGCCUUGGCACAACGGAAAUACUCAUGGUUGAAACGGCCAGCAUACAUACGUAAUGACUCGUUUGGCUUCUGGUGAAUAGUGUACAAGUCAUCCGCAAAGUGCAAGCAAUCGGUCUGGAAAAUGUGUUGAGAAAUAAACAGUUUCCUCAAUUCCUUAAAUAAGUCUAUCGUCUCAGGUGGAAGAUGACAAUACCAGUUCAGAGCUCCACCAAAGAGGGUGGAAGGGAAGAUAAGACAUCGUUCUUCGUCGGUGUGCAUCUGGUAUGCCAUGGUGGACUAAAAGAGGUUAAGGUGUUCAAUCAGGUAAUUUUUUCCAGUAUAGAGUUGCAAGCCAAGUUUCUGCUUUGUCUUUACUUGGAAGGGGAGGAUCCUCCUUGUAAGAGGGCUAGACCUAGGUUGGUUCCAAUCAGGUAUCUCAGCUUGUCGUUCGGCCUUCAAAUUGUUUACUUCCUUAAGGAGCUGUAGGACAAAAGGGUCAUAAGUGGAGUCAUGUACCACUAGAGCUUUCUUUUGUAAAUCUCCAUCUCCUCUUAGAAGUAGGAAGGUUUGAUCAAGAGCAUAUGAUUUUUCCCUGGACUCGCCGUACUGACUUCCAAAGUAUGUCUGUCGGAACAUCUCCGAGUCCCCUAUACUUUCGUGUUUCUCUAGGACUUGUUGCCCCUUCCCCAAAUUGGAGGCCGGUCUAGGACAUGGGAGGGGAUCGAGUCUUUCAGAGACCCGUGGGUCAUUGAUUUUCGAGCUUACAUGGAUGGGAUUGUCUCGACGUUGCUUUAGAAAGUCUUGACAGUUGCGAAAGACGGCUUUCGAUCCUUCCACUCCUUCUGUAAAGAGGUGCAUUCCUCCACUCCUUCUACUUCAGGUCGAAGCAGCUGGGUUGAGAGAAGUCUCAUGUUGGUCGCCAUUUCGAUGAGUAGCUCACUCCUCAACAGGAAUACUCAUGUCGAUGGCAAAUGACCCUCCGUGUUGAGGGCACCUAGUUAAUGGUUGACUUCCACAGGGGUGAUGAGCUCGUGUGUUUUAGUUAGGGGUGGUUCGGGUCGGGAUCCCGAACCGAAACCCCUAAUCCGAAUCCCAAACCAAAACAUUUUGGGAUGGGAUUUUAUAUCCCGAAACCGAACCAAAACUAUUGGGAUCCCGAAAUUCGGGAUUCCUGAAAGUGUUUCGGGAUUUUCGGGUCACUUCGGGAUUGGGCCUUGAAGCCCAAAAUGUUGGGCUUUUAAAACUUUUUACAAUUUUAAGCUCUUGAACAAGUAAACCCACCCAUUUUUCAGAAAAAAAAAAAAAGGUUAACAAUUGCAGGCAGCUUGCCUGUUUCAGUUUCACAAUAUCACAAUUUCAGUUUCACAUUACCAUCUGUUUCAAUUUUGAUACCAAGGAAGCAACAACUAACAAGUUAAGCUUAAGUUCACAAUUGUCUACCAAACUAGUUAAUUAAAAGUGCAUGCAACCAAAAUGAAAUAAGUUAAGUUUUACAAACCAAACUUCCGAAUGAAUUUAGAUUAAGUUACAAACCAAAAGCAAAACAUAGUUUAUAUGCAAGAAAGUGCAUGCAACCAAAAUGAAGCUUAAGUAAGUUCAUUCCUUUUUGCCCCUUCGGCCCCUUCCCCUUGUUGAUGAAUCAACCACACUCUUGAUUUUUCCCUUCUCUGUAAAAUACAAUUCUAAAACCGCCGCCGCCACCUUGUGCCUAUUUGGAAGCUUGUACUUUGGAUUCAAGUCAUGGAUCCAAUCUUUAAAGUCCUCUUGAUCAACCACCCUAAAAGGCAUCUCCGCUUUUAUUAUCCACUUCACACAUUUCAUAUCAAGUCUUUUUUGAUUGAAAGUGUGAGCAACAACUUGAUCCCCCAUCACCCCUUGUGACAACAAUGGUUGUUUCGAAUCCAGGGUCCUAGGUGUACUAAUAGAUUGUGAUUGGCUACCACUACCACUACCACUACCAAACCCGUCCAUCUUGAUAAUGCACAAUAAUAUAUCACAACACACUUCAGCAUAUAUAUAAUAUUCAUAUAAGAUUAAAGCAAGUUAAUUGAUCCAUAAACUGAUCCAUUCCAUAAUAUAUCACACACAUUCCAUAAACUGAUCCAUAAACACAUAUAUUAUAUCAAAGUCAAACACAUAUUUAUCUCAGAAUAUAAUCAAGUUAAUUGAAUAUAAUCAGGUUAAUUGAAUAUAAUCAAGUUAAUAUAAUCAAGUUAAUUUUUGGUUCAUCAGUUGAACCAAUUUGCAAUAACUCAACAAAAUAAGCAAAUAGUUCAGAAUUCGAUAUCCGAAAUUGCUCCAUUAAAGAGGCAUUCCCUAAUUCUGAAUAUGCUCACACUCUAUUAAAGAGGCAUUCGAUAUCCGAAAAUGCUAAAGAACAAAACCCAGUGAAAAUAAAAAACCCUAACCUGGAUUUUAUGACUCAAUUGGUUCCUUCUUGUCCUGCGUCUACGUGAGUUGUGGAGGAUGAGGAGCGGUGUGGAUUCGACGGAUGAGUGGAGCGGCGGGAGCAUUGGCGGCGGGACUCUAAGUGAGAAUGUGAGUCGGCAUGGAUUCGACGGAGGAGUGGAGCGACGGGAGCACGGGCGGCGAGACUGUGAGUGAGACUGUGAGACUGUGAGAGAGAGAGAGAGAGAAGAAAACUGGUGGGAUUCAAACGAAAAAGAAGACGAAGACGAACCUGGACUUCAGCCGGGAGAGCAAGUGCCAGAGGAUAGCGUCUGGAGAGGACCACGACCGAGCGUGAGAGGACACUACGUCUGGAGAGGAAGGAGACAGCAAGAGGGUUCGUUCCGACUAACUGUGAGUCUGUGAAAGAGGGACUGUGAGCGAGAGCGGAGAGACCGAGAGACUGUUAGCGAGAGUAAGAGUGAGUCUGAAAGAGAGAGAACACCCACCUAACAAAUGACCUAACCUAACUCAAUGGACGGUUGGAUUUGAUUUUAACAAAUCCAACGGUUCAAGUAAUUUCUAAUUAAAAAUUAAAAAUAAAUAAAUAAAUAUAUAAUAAUCGGUUCGGUUCGGGAUUACCGAAAGCUUUCAAAGCUGUGGCCGAAUCCCAACCCGAAACUUUCAGGACGGGUUCGGUUUCGGGUACCGAAGGUUUCGGGAAAUUUGGUUUGGGAUUUUUUCGGUCAAAUUUCGGGACGGUUAGGGAUUUUCGGGAAAAAAUUUCACCCCUAGUUUUAGUGUAUCUAGCCUCGUGGAGCAUCUCGAAGACCUUCUCAUACUGCUCUUGGAAAAUCUCAUUCUUCAUCGCUAUCUUGUUGUUCUGAGCCUCCAACUCAUCGACUUUAGCUUGAAGAGCAAACUUCUUUUGUUCCUUCUUUCGUUACUUCGCACCAGGCGCAAGAGGGGUGUCAUUCUGUGUGCUGUGGCUUCCUUCGCUCCUCAUGUUGGAAAGGGAUGCCUGGUCAAAAGAGAGUGUACGAAUGGUGGAAACCAACUUAACAAAGCUGAAGAGAGUGGGAAUAAGUGUCAUUCCCACAGACGGCGCCAAAUGUUGAUGCACAAAAUCAGUAAGGACUUUGGUACAACAGAAAAUGUUAAGUUUGUGACCUUUGCUAGAUUGCUCCAGUCACUAGUGUGGAUAAGUAUGUAAAUGGAUAGAGACAGGGAAGCAAACACAAGAUGUACGUGGUUCACCCAAAUUGGCUAUGUCCACGGAAUAGAGGAGUUCUCAUUAAUUGUGAAGGGUUUACACAAGUAAAUAGGUUCAAACUCUCCUUUUGUGAGUACUAAUGAAUGAUUUAGUACAAAUAACAUUAGGAAAUAUUGUGAGAGAAUGAUCUCUAUUUAUAUAAGAAAGUUUCUAGUUUCAUUCUGACAUUGACACGUGUCGUGCUGUGAUUGGCCUCUGAUGUCGACACGUGUCGCGUUAUGAUUGGCCUCUGAUGUUGACAUGUGUCUCAUUAUGAUUGGCCUUCUGGUUGGAGGGAGACUUUUGUGGGUCCUUGGCGGUAUAAUGUUGACCGGUGCUUAGUAGUUUCGGGGUUGGUCAAGUAUGGUACAAACAUGUUACAUCCCACAUCGUUCAGGGGAGUGGAUCCUCUAAAUCUUAUAUGUAUAUUCUCAUCUGUACCUACCACGAGACAUUUUGGGAGCUCACUGGCUUCGGGUUCCAUCGGAACUCCGAACUUAAGCGAGUUCGCAUGAGAGCAAUCCCAUGAUGGGUGACCCACUGCGAAGUUCUCGUUUGAGUUCCCAGAAACAAAACCGUGAGGGUGUGGUAGGGGCCCAAAGAAGACAAUAUUAUGCUACGGUGGAGUCGAGCCCAGGAUGUGGUGGGGGCUCGACCCGAGAUAUGACAAUUUGGUAUCAGAGCCAAUCUUUGGCCGGAAGUGUGCCGACAAGGACGUCGGGUCCCUAAGGGAGGUGGAUUGUUACAUCCCACAUUGCCUAGGGAAGUGGAUCCUCUAAACCUUAUAUGUAUAUUCCUAUCUCUACCUAGCACGAGGCCUUUUGGAAGCUCACUGGCUUCGGGUUCCAUCGGAACUCCGAAGUUAAGCGAGUUCACGCGAGAGCAAUCCCAUGUUAGGUGACCCACUGGGAAGUUCUCGUCUGAGUUCCCAGAAACAAAACCUUGAGGUUGUGGUAAGGGCCCAAAGCGGACAAUAUCGUGCUACGGUAGAGUCGAGCCCGGGAUGUGGUGGGGGCCUGGGCCGAGAUGUGACAUCAUAGAAUAAUUUUAAUAUUAAGAUUGGAUUAAUCAAAACUUUGUUUCUUUAAAGGAAACAUUAAUGAAGAGAAAUUUUAAUACAAGUAUUAUCAUACUUGUGUCUACCUUAUGUUAACGUAAUUUCACUGUAAAUAUCAUGUGAACUAUUCAUUCUCUUUAUUAUCAUCUAAAGAUCAUCUCUGAAUUUAACAAUCAUUUAAUUUUAGAAAUCUUUUAAUCAUCUUUACGUACCAAACAAAUUGAUAGUUUCAAUAACAAGUAACAGCAUCAUCGUGAUGUAUUGUUCAUUUGUUUGAUGCAUAUGAAUCACUGAACAAUGUUCCAAUUGAAUAAUUUUUGCAAGAUGAUGAAAAAAAAUAUGAAUGAAUACGAUUAUGACAUUUGUAUGGUAAAAUACGUUAAUAACAUAGGCAGUCAAGUAGGUUCCCAAAUGGCAUGGAUAUAAGUAUUUUCCUUUUAGCAAUUGGUGUUGACACUAGUUGGAGAGGGAAAUUGUUUUUAUUUACCUUAAAUAGUUGAAAAGAAGAAUUGUUAAUAACUUAUUUAAAUUAUAUUUGUAGGGAUGAUCUUCAAAUAAAGAUUAAGAGAUUGAACGAUUCUAAUUAUGAAAUUUCUACCGUGAAUAUACGUUAUUUACAAGUGAGAGAAUGAACUUAUCUCCCUAAGGGAAGAAUGCAAGCAUUAUCUUUAACCUAAAUCACAUUUUUAUAUAUUAUACACAUGCAAAGUGAUACUUUCACGAUAUAGCAAUCAUCCUAUGCCACUCAACCAAGCGUCCUAAUUUACUCACCACUCUCUCAAGAGAUUACUAUAGAAACUCUGAGUUCUUGGAGAGAGCUUUUCUUAGAGAUGAAGAAAGAUGUAUUUUCUCAUUAAUUGUAAAUGAAUAAUACAAUCACAUAUAUAUAUAUAUAUAUAUAUUAUAUAUAUAUAUAUAUAUAUAUAUAUAUAUAUAGCAUUUGGUUAUUGACAGUUAACUAACUAAGACUAAUUACAUUUAUAACAACAAAUAACAAACUAUAGUCAUGAUGUGGCAUCUUCAUCUUUACACCCCCUCAAGCUAAACUUGGAAGAAUCAAAGGUUCCAAGAGAAAGCUUGGAUUGCAAAAACGGAAACCUAUUUUUAGACAAAGAUCUGGUAUGAAUAUCUGCAAUUUGAUCCUGGCUACAAACAUACUGAAUUACAACCAAGUUUGCAAGAACUAACUCAUGAAUAUAACGGUAAUCAAUUUCGACAUGCUUAGUUCGAGCAUGAAAUAUAGGAUUUGAUGCAAGUGAGAUGGCCGAGAUAUUAUCACACUAGAGAGUGGGUUUUUGAGAUGAAUGAAAACCAAAAGCUUCGAGCAAUUGCAUCAGAGUAGGCUGACAAGUGCAUAGAACCUUUCUUAAACCAGAGACCAUGAGCAAUUGUACCUUUGAGAAAUCUCAGUAUGCGUUUAGCUGCUUGCAUAUGAAUGACAGUAGGGGCAUGCAUGAAUUGACAGACCUGGUUCACUGCAAAGGAAAUGUUAGGCCUUGUCCAAGUUAGGUACUGAAUAGCACCCACAAGAGAUCUGUAUUCAAUUGGGUUGGCAAGUAAUUCACCAUUGUGAUCAAACUUGGAAGAGUUGAGAGGAGUACAACAUGGUUUAGCUCCAUCCAUGUUUGUUUUCUGUAACAAAUCAAACAAGUAUUUGCUUUGAUGAAGAAACAAAGCAUCAGUGGUUCUUUGGACUUUUAAACCCAAAAAGUAAUGCAAUGGCCUCAGAUCUUUGACAGGAAAUAUAGUACUCAACUUCUCUAUAAUUGCUUGCAGAUUUUACUUAACAUGUUGUUGUCCAAAAUUAAAAUAAACUAGUAUAGUAUUUGUAUAGGCAAGAACUAAACAGACAUACAUACAAGAAUGAAAAAUGUGAAAGAAUAUAAACACUCGUGAUUUAUCAUUAUUCUUGUACGAGUAGAUAAUGGUUACUUACAUUAUCGUUUAGAUUUUUAAAAUCCUCCAAAUCCUCAUGAAUAAUGUUUUUUAUUUGAGGAAAAAUUAAUAAUUAUUAUUGUAAAUGACACACCCCGACCUAAAUUAAGGCGUGAUGGCCAGCACGCCUCGAUUUAGGUCGAGGUGGCCUGGGCCGAGAUGUGACAGUAGAAGUGUAAAAAAUGUAAAAAAAAUAAAUUUAAAAAAAAAAAAAAUAUAUAUAUAUAUAUACACACAAUCACUCAUAGUGACAAACUUUACAACUUUCAUGAAGGGGUAAACUUCGAAAUCCAACACUAUAAUCCAUAAACCUUAAAUUUAUAUUUAACCGUCGAAUGUUAUUUACGCUUUAUUCUUCUUACUAAAUUUCAUUUUUAAAAUUUUCUUUUUUGAAAACAUGAUCAUCUAGCGGAUGUAAGAAGAUGAACGGUUCAAAUCUUUGAUAUCACGCUUCAAUAUUUACGGUUAAAUAAAAUAUGAGUCAAUGUCAAAUAGUUUGUAGAAACUUUAUAAACAUCAAGCAAUAUUUUCACUAACCGUAAAACUCUUAAUAUAAUAUUAACGAUCCAAACCGUUCAUCUUCCUGCAUCCUCUAAUAGAUCAUGUUUUCAAAAAAGAAAAUUUGAUGAGAACAAUGAAGCAUAAAUGUAAACAAUCAAUGGUUAAAUUUUGAUCUAUGAUUUAUAUGAUUAUAGUAGCGAAUUUCGAAGUUAAGCUCUUCAUGAAAGUUGUAAAGCUUGUCAUUACGAGCGUUUAUGUAUAUUUUUCUAUAUUUUUUACAUUUCUACAUUAAUUAAAAAACUAUUAAAGACUUUACUUAAUUAAUUAAGCUAUUAAUUAAUUUAUACACAUGUUGUUUCAGAAGCAAUUUAUGCUAGAGAUUCAAAUUCAGUAAAUCUUAGUGAUGAGGAGUUUGUGGAGAUUAUAAUGGGAAUAGAACGAGAUCUUGGAAGCGAAAGUAUAGACAAUACAAAUACGAGUAUUGCAAAGAAAAAGGCUAGAGCAAUCAAUUUAGGUAAGUGAAAAUAUACUUAAAAGAAAAUGCGUUUUUAUGUUUUGGAUGUGACAAUAUGGUAUGUAUAUACUUAUUUAGUAUUAUGUUUUUCAUUUGAUUAUUUAUUGGUUUAAAAUAUAUUUUCCUUAACGGGUAACAGGUCAGGUCAUAUUACCUGUUAAUAUUAUCGGGUCGACUUCGGGUCGGGUCAUUUUACCCAUUUAAUUUAAGGGGUAUUACACGACAGGACCCAUUAAGAUAUCAGGUAUGACACAAAAACGACACGAACAUGGAAAACAUGACACGAAUGUUAGGUCUAUCCAGUAGCAUCUUUAGAAGGGUUUAGGUAUUUUGUGUCCUUUGUGGAUGAAUGUACACAAUAUACUUGGGUUUUCCCUAUUAUCAAUAAAGCUGCAGUUUUAUCUGUCUUUGCUUAGGUUGUUGCUUAUGUUCAAACUCAAUUCAGUACUCAUAUCAAAAUACUCCAGAAUGAUGGUAGGGGUGAAUAUGUAGGUUUAGCCUUUAAAGCCUUUCUUAGAGAUAAAGGUAUUAUUUAUCAAAUGUCUUGUCCCUACACCCUAAAGCAAAAUGGGUUAGCUGAAAGGAAAAAUAGGCAUAUGUUGGAAACUACUAUUACCCUACUUCAAAAACCAUCUCUACCUUCUCAUUUCUAGUUCCAUGCUUGUGCCACUAUUGCAUAUCUAAUUAAUAGGAUGCCUACACUUAUCCUUCACAUGCACUCUCCAUUUGAGCUUCUGUUUCAAUCUCCCCCUACAUUAGAUCACUUAAGAGUUUUUGGGUGUGCUUGUUAUCCUUUAAUGAGACCUUAUAGGAACGACAAAUUAGAUCCCAAAACUACAGAAUGUAUUUUUUUUGGGAUAUGCUUCACAAUACAAAGGUUACAUUUGUUUUUCUCUCUAUAAAAAUAAGCUCAUUGUGUCUCGACAUGUUAUAUUUGAUGAACAUAGUUUUCCUGGUUCGAAAUUGUCAUCAUCUUUUUCCAAUGGUGCUACAUCACCCUCUUCCCAUGCAUCUACAUCUUUUGUGCAUCCUAAUACUUUUGCACAUCCAUUGGUUAUUCCUAUCCCAUUACCUCAAGUGUCAACAUUAUUGCCCUCUGGACAGUUAACUCAUAUUGUUACUUAGUCCACUUUCGCAUCAACAUAUAACACUAGUGACCUUGUCUCUCCUCAAGCUUUACUCAGUUCCAGUGCACCUACUCAGUCACAAUCUCUCAGUUAUACAGAGCUACAUCCUGAUGUUAUACUUCUUCUCAAGUUGAUACACUACAAUCUUUGCCAGUUUCUACUCUCAAUACUCAUGCUAUGUAGACUAGAUCCAAGUCUGGUAUUGUGAAGAAGAAAGCUUUUUCAACCAGUGUAGUUGAUGAUCAUUCUCUUACAGAACCUAAAACCUUUUCAGUUGCCUCUAAUUCUGUGCAAUGGCAAGAUGCAAUGAAAGAAGAAAUGCAAACUUUGGUUCAACAACAUACUUGGUCACUUGUUGUGUUGUUGCUCUAUGUUGAUGAUAUUAUCAUAACUAUGAGUGGUACAGAAUCAAUUACACAGGUUAUUGUAGACUUAACUAAAGAGUUUGAUAUCAAGGACCUUGGUUCUCUGCACUACUUCUUGGGGAUUCAAAUUACAAGAACAAAUGAAGGGCUACUUCUGUCUGAGGAGAAAUAUAUUGACUUGUUGCAAAAAAAAAAAAAAAAGAUGUUGGAUUCUAAACAAUGUGCAACUCCUUGUUUACCUUACAACAAGUUACUCAAGGAUGAUGGUCAACCUUUCAACAAUCCUAGCUUAUAUAGAAGCAUAGUAUAAGCAUUACAAUAUUUGGUAUUCACAAAAUCUGACAUUGCAUUCUCAGUCCAUCAAGUCUGUAAAUUUUCGCCUUCUCCUUCUUUGACAAAAUUGCACCUACAAAACAAUCAACACCUUUGGUCAAGGCCAAGAACCUCACGCACCCACGAUGAAUGAGGGGGCUUUGGCCAAAGAACCUCCGAUGCCAAAGUUAGAAUUUAGAGAGAAAAAGUGUUUAGAGGAUUUUUGGGAGUUUUGCAAGAGUAUCAACUUAGCUUUUUAGAAUAAAUAGGGUCCUAUAUAUAGGGAAUGAGGUGGCCGGCCCUUAGAGGAUUUUGUGUGAAAAUAGUGAUUAAUUUGGUGAUUAAUUGAUUAAUUAGGAAUUAAUCCAUUAAUUAGCCUAAUUAAUCUAAUUUGUAUGAAAGGUUUUGAAGGUUAUGGAAUGAGGAUGGAUGAGACAAAUUUGAACUUGUUACCUAUUUUGGGUACUCCUGAUUUGGUUGAUGGAUGAUUCUCUACUGCUCGCUUGUAGGAGACCCGGUAUGCCUCGAGGGUAAAUUUGUCAUCUUCACCCAAAAAUCCACAUGUCGCCUUAUGAUUAUUUUUGGCUCCACACUAAUGAUAGGAGAUCUACCACUGGUUUGGAAGUCUUUUUAGGCAACAAUCUUAUCUCAUGGGCUUCCAAUAACCAGCAAACAGUCUCCAAAUCCUUUUCACUAAAGCUGAAUAUCGAGCCCUUUCAACAACUACUACAAAAUUGGAUUAAAUAACUAUUUCAGGUUCUGCAAGUCAAAUUCCUCAUUCUCCAGUGCUUUUUUGUGGCAAUUUAUCUACAAAACUCUAUCUUUCAAUCCAGUUCAACAACAAAGAACAAAACGUAUUGAAGUGGAUGUUCACUUUGUCAAUGAGAGGGUAGCUAGCAAGAAACUCUUGGUUCAGUUUGUGUCAUCAUCUGAGCAGUUUGCAAACAUUCUAACUAAGGAACUCAAUGCACCUCUAUUCCAUACUCACUACUACUAUCUCAUGCUUGGACCUUCCAAUCAUGAGUUUGAGGGGGCAUGUAAUAGAAUAGAAUAUUUGGAAGGUGUGGAUUAUGCCACAUGUCAUUAGAUAAGCAAAGGAGUUAGUUAGGAUUGCUAGAAUAUGUUAAGAGAUAAGAUUGUGUUGUAAUGAGAUAGGAUUGUAUAGCUUAGUUGUACAAACACCUAUAUAGAGGUUUAUCUGUGUAAGAUACCCUUAAUCAAGAAAAAGUUGAAUAUCAAAAUGCGCAACGAACAAGACUAACAAAAUAAUAGGAAUUAUAUUAAACAAACGAGAAUGCCGGAACGGCUACAAAACCCUAAGAGACUAAAUUUUGAAUAACUUUUCACGACCGAAUAACAAGCACGCUAUUUAUAAUAAACUAACUCUUACACUAAUGCUAACGGGCUAAGCCCAAGAAACCAAACAUUAAAGUAAACCUAAAUACUAAUAGUUUCCAACACCCCUCAUCAAACUCAUGGUGGUAUACGACAUGGGCUUGCAAACAAGCAGAUGCGGAUUGGCUCUGUUAGGCGGACUGGCAGGCAUGCCAACUUGACUUGACUUAACUUGACUAGCGAAAUUAACUUGACUGAUGAACUUGACUUGACUUGCGAACUUGACUUGACUGACGAACUGGACUUGACUAGAUUGGCAAAUUGAUUCUUGCUGCUGACUCUGGCAAACUGAUUAUGAUUCAGACUGACUAUUGUUGAGAGUAUAGAAAGAACCCGUCACUAAACGAACAAGAUUUCCAUAUCUCAAUUGUAGUAACAAACAAACAAACACAAAUACUAUCACUUAAGUGGUCACAAUUCUAAGCACUCGAGUGACGGUCACAAAACAAUCUCAAACAAGCCAACACCGACAAUAAAAAACUUCAACAACAGGCCACAUUGCCCAUGUGGAGAAACUCAAAAACUAACAAUUUUUCUCCUUGCUUGUGUGGGCCUAUCUCGCUUUUUCUCCUUUUCUUUCCUUUCAUUUUCUUUUCACUAUUCUUUUUCUCCUUUUUUUUUCUUCAAACAUCACUUUUUCCUUUUUUUUCUUUUUCCUGAAUAUUUUUCCCUUCUCUUAUGUGCAUCUGCAAACUAGUGCAUCAAUCAUCAAAUUGCAUUGGAACUUCAGUACAAUUGUCGGACCAACAAAAAAUAGCAAGAAUUAGGUUUUCAAACUAGCUGCGGCAGGGUUGCAGUGGUUGACAUAUCCGACUCAUGGGAGUCGACUGCGUGUACGAGAGCAGGCAGCAGCGGAAAAGCAGCGAGGAGUGAUGGGUUGGGUUGGUUUCGUCAGGCAGGUGGUUCCAGGCGGGAAUGAGAUGGUGAUCUGGUAUGAUGGCCAAUCGGUGACAGGGCAAAGGGUUGGUUCAGCAACUGGUUUUAGACUGAUGGCAGAAAUCGAGUUACGUACAGCAAUAGCAAAUAGCAGCGCGUGGCUCCGGCGGCUUGGUGAAACAAAGGUUCAGUUUCCUUUUUUAUUCCUUUUUUUCAAACUAUAAAACCCUAAUCCAGGGCACAACGACUGAACAAACCACAACAAACAAGAGAACGCGACUAGACAAACAAACUAGUUACCAAGAACAAAUUCAACCCCAAAGGAUCCAACUCUGCUCUGAUACCAAGUUGAAUAUCAGAAUGCGCAAUGAACAAGACUAACAAAAUAAUAGGAAUUAUAUUAAACAAACGAGAAUGCCGGAACGGCUACAAAACCUUAAGAGACUACAUUGUGAAUAACUUUUCACAACCGAAUAACAAGCAUGCUAUUUAUGAUAAACUAAGCCUUAUCCUAAUGCUAACGGGCUAAGCCUAAGAAACCAAACAUUAAAGUAAACCUAAAUACUAAUAGUUUCCAUCAGAAAAUACAUUUUGAACCACUUACUUUCCCUCGAAGCUUUCUGCAUAUUCUUCUACAUUGGUUAACAUUACUUUUGUUUACCAGUUGCUGCAAUUCAAGAACAGUGACUUAAUUUCGUCGGUUUUUCAACAAAAAGUUUACAAGGAGAAGAUCAGUUUACAUUCCAGACAAAAAGUUUAGAUUUCCUAAAUCUAAUAAAGAUCUGUGACCGUCCCAACUUUCAUUACUAAAGUGAAAUUAGAAGGAGAACUAGUGCUCAUUAAUGGAUAAUUGUCACCCUUCACCAGAAAAAUAAACACUAAAAGGUCGUACCCAGUGCACAAGGCUCUCGCUUUACUCAGGGUCUGGGAGAGGUGAAUGUCGGCUAGCCUUACCCCCAUUUAUGGAGAGACUGCUCCCAAGUCUCGAACCCGAGACCUACCGCUCAUGGGCGAAAGCACUUGCCAUCGCACCAAGUGCGACCUCUACCAGAAAAAUGAACACUAAAAAUUAAAAAAAGGCAAAUGAAAAUGAAUAAAAAGAGAUUUAUCUGUAAAACUUUAUUUGCGACAACGAUAUAUUUACAUGAAACAAUUUUAAUACAAAGUGGUAUUCCGAUUCACAAAUAUCAUCGUUUUAUUAAAACAAUAAGCUAGCCUCAAUACAUGUGUUGAAGUUAGUGCAUGAAUAUGUUUAAUUCUUGCAUGAAUAUGUUUAAUUGUUGCCAUUCUCAUAAUUGGUUGAUUUUCAAAAAUUAUUUCAUUUCAUACAUUAUGCAUAAUCGUGGUAGUAUCUUGCAAAGUUUGAGAAGAAUGUGAUUUACCGCGCUUUAGUAUCAUGCCAAUUCCACUCAAAGGCUGAAGAGAGAUCAAGUAGCAAAGCGUGGAGACAAAGUUGCCAGCUAGUAUGUGUGUCUAGUUAAUGAGUUUUGUAAGCCUUUUUGUAUUCAUUUUUCUCUUAGUGUUUAUGUCUCGGUAACUCGAGGAUUUUCCUAGUGAUAGGUUUUGCCUCAUUAAAUCCCUUUAUCCGGUGUGCAUACUUUAUUUGUUUAUUUAACUGCAUAUGUGUAAGAUAUUUCGAAUGUGUUGUGGAUGUGAAAAUUAAUUUAAAAUUUGAAACUGAUAUUGAAUUUUUAAAUUGGAAUUUAUUCACCCCCCUCUAAAUUAAACUAAUAUCAUCCUAGUACUUUAACUACCCAUAACACCUUACAUACCCACCUUUGUGUACACCAAAAGAUAACAGCGCCAAACAUAUCGUCUAUUGACUGUACUAAAGGGUUUAGGGUUUAGAUCAAGGUAUAUACAUAAGCUUAUUGAAUUUUCGGUUUAUCUUAUAUUUCACUCUAUAUUUACUAUUAAAACUAAGAAAUUCUAGAUCUUGAAUUUUGAAUAGCCUCUUAUUUAUUAGAAUGACUUGCAUGACAUGAGUACACCGUCACAUGGCGUCCCAUACUAAUGAUAGAAUGAUGUGUUCUUUGUGUUAUUAGCAUAGGACGCCACCGUGACGGUAAACUCUUGUCAUACAAGUUGUUCUCUUUAUUUAUACUUCACAUUAUAGGUGUCAAACGAGACAGACCAACCUAUUUAAAGUCAGCCCACGUGGGCUUGGGCCGUGCAUUGGCCUGCCCACUUAAUAAACAAAUGGUACUUAGGACCCACUUAAUAAAACAUUAAACUCAGCCCAGCCUACGGCCAUAGCCCAUUAAGACCUGGACUGUGCUGGACCGGGUCACUAAAUAGGCCAACUUCAACAAAACAAACUUUAGUUAUUUCAAAAUUUAAAAAAAAAAAAAAAACUUAUUUGAACAUAUUAUUAAGCUAAAUAUCACUAAUAUUAAGUCUUAAUAACCUAAUAAUGUAUGUUUGUAAUUAAAAAUUGAUGAAUACAUGAGAUUUUUUUUAUAAUGGGCUAGGGUCGCCGGUUGUGCUCGGCCCAUGACGGGCCCAACGGGCCGGUCAGUCCAUUGGGCCUAAAUUUUAGGUCCGGCCCAACCACUUCUUAUGAAUGGAUCGUGCUGUGCCUUAUUUAAUUUAAUCAUGUCCGUGCCGACCCGCCCAUUUGACACCUCUACUUCCCAUUAUAAAUAAGAAAUUAUGAGAAUAUAUUUUAUUAUCUGAAAGAAGUUAUUAAGAUUAUGAUUUUGGUAACUGCGUUUGAUUUAGUCUAGUUGGAAAAGUUAAUUAGUUAGUUUAUUAUUACGUAAGGGUAUUUUGGUAUUUUAGGGGUAUUCUUGUAGAAUUAGGAUUUGAGUUCAUUAUUCAUUAGGGUUUGUUCAUUAUAAAUAGGAUUUUUUAUAACUUUGUUGAAAUAAGUCUGGCAAGAUGUACUCUCUUUAGGUUAUAUAAUCUUUUUGGCAAUUUUGUAGUGUUUCUUGAUUUCCAUUUAGUAAUGUGAUAUUCGUAGUUUUAUAGUCCAAUUGUUCGGCUUUUAUGCAUAUUCUAAUUUUCAUCUAAUCUUGUAUCUGAUUUACCUGUAAAUACCUUGUUAUGAAAGAGAUUAAAGAGCAGUGAGUGUGUGUGAGAUUAUGAGAAAUUUCUCAACUAUUUUGUUUGGUCAGUGGUUGAAACUUGUUAUGCUGCGCUUCUCUAUGAUGUAUAAAGUUAAGUUUCUUCGUGCACUUACAGCUCAGACUCUUAAGAAUGCUAAUGAUAAUGUGAUCUUGAGAUGAUAAUUUAGCUAUUUUGCUCCUUCCUUGUAACGACCCGCCCGCAAAUAUUUCGGUUUUUAUAAUUUUCAAACAUGAAUUUACGAAAAUACCCUCCAAGGCUAAACGUUGACUUUUGUUGACCACCUUGUCGUGUCACGUAAGAUUCACUUCAUUGGCGUAUCCUUGUAACAUCCGUCGCUACGAGUGUGUGGGCACAAGCGAAAUCGAAUUUGAAGUUACGAUGAACAUUUAACAGAACUACGAAGUCGAGAGGCAAAAUAGUCAUUUCACUAUUCUAGAUAUUAGGAUUAGAUAUUUGGGUAAAGUACAGAAAACUACCUCAACUAUUGGUGUCAUGACACUUUCAUACCUCAUCUUUUAAAAUUGACAAUGUCAUACCUCAUCUUACGAAUUUGUGCCAAUGUUAGACCUCCGUCAAUUUUUCUGUUACUUUUUCUGUUAAAUGCUGAUGUGGCCAGAAACGGGACCCAUUUUUAUUAAAAAAUUAAUUAAAUAUUAAAAAAUUUAAAAACCAAAAAAAACCCAUCAACCCAUGUCCCUCCUUCCCAAAAACCCAGAUCCCUUUCUCUGAGUUCUCCCACACCCAACCCCCCCUCUCUCUCUCUCUCUCUCUCCUCUCUCCCUGCAACCUGCAUCCCUAAAAUCCCAAAACCAUUCACACCUGAGUCAUCACCACCGACGAGCUCUUAAUCCUCUGAGCCGAUGAUCGCCGAUUAACCCUAGACCCUUCCCCGCCACUCCCGCUGGCGUCGGAGCUCUCCUUCUGGCACCACAGGUGCUUCUGGUUCCCCCACUUCAAAUACCACGGCAAUUUGAAAAUGUGCAGAGGCUUCGCCUUCUCAGAGCCCAUCGCCAUGGACUUAUCCUCCACUCUCUCUCCUCAUCCAACUUGCCUAUAUACACCAUUUAUCGGAAACUCAGACCAAAGACAGCCAUUCUCAGAUCACUACUCUCUAUCUGUUUCACACACCUCCUCUGAUUUUCUCAGAAACUCUCAGAAUUUUCUGGGAAAAACAGAGAGUUUUUCUAUUGGGAUUGUUGUUGUUGUUGUUAUUGUUUUGUUUUUUCUCUCGCAAAUCGCCGGAGGGGGGGCGAGAAGGAGAAGGGAAUGUUGUUGUAGAGGUUGUGGCUAAAGUUAAGGUUUGGGGGCGAUUGGGGGUCGUGGCUAUCAUUGCUGGAGUUAACGAUAAAGGUAGGGUUGUCGUCGAUGGGAUCAGAAAGGAAAGUUGGGGGGACGGGUGGGAAGGAUUUAUGGGUUUGGGAUUUUAGGGAUGCAGGUUUCAAGGAGAGAGAAGAGAGAAAGGCGAGAGAGAGGGAGGCGAGAGAGAGGAUUGGGUGGGAGAGAACUCAGAUAAAGGGAUCUGGGUUUUUAGGGUUGGGGACACGUGUUGAUGGGUUAUUUUUUUAUUUUUUGUUUUUUUUAAUUUUUAAUAUUUAAUUAAUUUUUUAAAAUAAUUAAUUAAUUUUUUAAUAAAAAAUAGGUCUCGUCUCUGGCCACGUCAGCAUUUAACAUAAAAACUAACGGAGGUUUGACAUUGGCACAAAUUCGUAAGAUGAUGUAUGACAUUGUCAAUUUUUAAAGAUGAGGUAUGAAAGUGUCGUGACACCAAUAGUUGAGGUAGUUUUUUGAACUUUAUCCUAGAUAUUUUUAUUACUUUAACAAUUUCUGUCAUGGGGGGCCCACACCUUAUUUCUCCUUCUGCCACAUGUCCUCCCCUCUUUUAAUCUCUCGAACUCUCUCCCUCUCAUUUUUCUUUCUUUUCUUCUUCUUUUCCCCGGGAACACUCUCUCCCUUUCUCUGAACAACACACACAUCACCGUGACCUCUACCACCAUGGCUCACUCUCCGACGACCUUACCACCCUCGAGACCUGUCCAUCACGAACCCAGACCUGGCGGAGGUCCCUCCUUUCUUCUUUUUCCCGGCACAGUGGCACCACCAUUGUUCCCGAAAUUACUCUGACGAGAUUUCCAGUUCUCUAAUCAAGGUAAGCUUCUGAUCACCGUUGUCGAUUCUUCCUUCGUAAUUUAGAAACAAUAUUGGGAUGCUAAGUUUCUGAUUUAAGGAGAUUGGACACAAAAGCAACGAAGGUGGAAACUUUUCCAGUUUUCGGCGAUGGAUUGUAAAGUUGCAGGCGCUUUUUCGACCACGGCAAGUCAUGGAAUUGGUGCAUCGGUGGGAAAGUGACUCCAUCCUCACUAACUUGAGCGGCUCCUAGCAACAAAAUAUUUGUGAAUGGACCCUUCUUAAAUUGCAUGUUUUAUAAAAUAUUAGGCUUGCAUGCAUUUCAUAUUUCAUGAUUUGAGUAUGUAUCGAAUUUACAUUUUACUAAAGGUUAUGAAUUAUGAAAUUUUGGUAUAUGAAAUUCUACGGAUUUACGAACAUGAUUUAUUUGGAUUUACUAGAUAAGGCUUUGAACUUUUAAGCUUAGGAUUUGAUAUGAGACUUUUGAGGUAUGUUUUCUGUGCUUAUCUAGUGGGUUAUCAUACAACACAUACACAUAACCAAGUGUGUAGACGUCUAUGGCCAUAGGACAUAGUGAGGAUAUUUAUGACAUACCCCCAUCUUCACUAGCUUGGGGCUAGUGUCGGUGUGAUAUGUUAUAUGUAUAUGUUUCUUUUAUGGUGUAACCUAGAGUCAUAUAGCUUCAACUUCGAGUGAUGGACCCUAAGUUUCUUCUCUAGCGUAACCCGAAGUUAUACAACUUCACCUUUGGAUGAUGGACCCACUGCAUAUACAUAUAUAUGUUAUAUCUCUUCUCUGGCGUAACCCAUAGUCGUACAGCUUCACCUUCUGGUGAUGGACCAUGAUUUCUUAACUGGCGUAACCUAGGGUCGUACAGCUUCACCUUUGGUGAUGAUUAUGCCUUCGGGCCACUAUGAUACCCCUAGUUGAGUACAUCACUAAUGAGAUUACAAAGGUUUUAUGGAUUUGCCUUCAGGCGGCUAUAUUACUAUUUCUAAGCACUAGUUUAUACGUACUAGUUUUACGAACGUUUUUCAUGGCAUGCUAGAGUUUUCAUAUUAUUAAUAUUAGUAUUAUAAACUUUGGUCCACUCACCCUUUGUUUUGCACCCCCUUCAGGAGUUAGAAUCGAAGCAUACAAUCCCGGCGUUAGGGCACUUCCGCUUAGGUAUCUUCGAGUCUUCUCAGUGUAGGACCCUUUUCUUUGUUCAUACCUUUUUAUAAAAAUUCUUUCACACGAUUCUUGAUUAGUUGUAUGCUUUGAACACGUUCCUGCAUUGGUAUAUUUCUUUCUAAUUACAUAUUUUUAUUUGUAUGUAUGUUUAAAAUGGCUUUGUCACCCUCGGGUGUUGGCCCGCACGUGCCUAUCCUGAUAUUUAGCGAUAUCAGGGUUGGGGUGUGUCAUGCCCGCUCUUGCUUUUCAAUCCUCGUUGCUCAAAAUCCUAAACUUCUUAGGGUUUUGUUUUCCUAUAUCUUUUACUUUGUGUUUGCCAAGCCUUAUCUUUACUUUGUUUUUGCCUAGUAUUGCCCUAAAAUUAUAUUUUCUUCGGGUUUUGCCCAGUAUUUUCCUUUUGCCCUAUAAUUUGUUGGGAUGUGCUUGUGUUGCCUUGUUGUGCUAGUUUUGGCAUGUUGUUGUCUUGCUAUUAUCAUGCCUUGUUGUGAUAGUCGAGAACGAUCAUACUACAAGGUAGCAGAGCAAUAAUUCAAAAAGGAUUUGGCCUAGUUUUCAUUUCUAGGAAUCCUUUUUAGUAGAAAGGAUUGGUUGAUUGGCAAGUCCUUUGUCAAUUUGUAAAAUGUGCUGAAGGUGCUUUCUUCGAGCUCUUUGAUUUUUAAGAUGUGUUUGUUGCAUUGGACUAUAUUGGACUAGACUAGCUUUAAGGACUAAGUUAGACUGGCUUAGACUAUACUAAGCUGGAUUGACUUAAUGAAGUAUUUGGUGCAGUGUCGGACUAAAAAACAAAAUAAUCAACAAAUUAUAAUAUUAUAUUAUUUAAUACAUUUCUAAUAAUAUUUUAUUAUUAAUUCAAUAUUUUUCUUUCUUUCUUUCCUAAAAACUCUACCCCUCUCUAGAAACUUAUUUCCUCUUCUCCCUCUUUAGCUCUGUCACAUCUCUCCUUUUCUUUCUCUUUUUUCCAGCAAAACCCAGAUAAUUCAUAUCUUUCCUUUGAACUCUAUAAUAUAUACAACCAAUCAACCAUCAUCUCUAUCAAUUAUCUGACUGACUCCAUUGAUUUUCCCAAUUUCUUGAUUUUCUUUUUCCGGCGAGUUGGUCAAAGUGAGGAUCGAAAAAGAAAGAAGCUUUGAGCAUUACCUAAAACAGAGAAAAGGGUUUUUAGAGAUGGGUAGAAGAAGAAAGCAAAGCCCAGGGAUUUUCAGGAAAUUUUCUAUUCGUACCCAAAGUGGAAGAACAAGCACCCCCGACUGUUGGCCACGGUGACGACUCCGCAGAAGAAGAAGAAAGCCCAAGGACUGGAUGUCGCUGUUAGCAAGAAAAAGCUGGGGUCUGGAUCUCAGCCUCAAUUUCCUUUUUAGUCCCGCUUAAUACCAAGCAAAAGUAUGGGAUAAAAUAUCAGGGGUUUAGCUAAGCAGGGAGGGCCUCGUAGUUGAGGCAAGUCCCAUUUAUUGUAGUACAAGACCAUACCAAACAUAGGAUUAUAAUCCUAGUUAAGCCAGUCCAAGCUAGUCCGUCCUAAGGAGGUGUAACAAACGCACAAUUAGGGUGCAUUUGUCGCACUAGACUAUCUCGAACUGAACUAGUUUUAAAGAUUAAGUUGGACUGGCUUAGACUACAUUUAGAUGGACUGACUUAGUAAAGCGUUUGGUGGAGUGCCAGACUAAAAAAAGGAAACAGGACGGACAUUAUUUAUAGAAGUCACACAACUCACACCCAUAUAAUUUUGCUCAGCAUAUCCAUUUCUCCUCAUAAUUCAUUACAUCUUUUUACUUUCCUCGCUUGCUAUUAAUCGAAAUCUGUUGCUAGAUUAUAAAUAUAACUUCUGUUUAAUCCAAUCCUUGAUUAAAAAGCUGACAGACAACUUUUAUUAAUAGUCCAUAACAUUCGAAACGAAAACAAGAAGUCUUGAUAAAACCCUUAAACUCCAACAAACAUAGAUAAAGGUAAGGUAGAUAGUCACACCACAAGGAAACACAAACAAGGAAAAUAAAGACAGUCAUCAAAUCAAUAGAAAAACAGAAGCACUCAUAGCACUUGAUCAUACUAAUUUGCUCAGCGAAGAUUUUCAAUCUUCCUUCCCCAGCAGAGUAAGGAGGAAGUCCUCGUAAUCCCCGGAAGUUUCUUUGGCCACAGCAUGGUCGAGAGGAACACUGUUCUUCUUGUAGUAAACCUCUUUGAUGUCUUUCAAGUCCCUCUCGGCCCUUGUCACAAUCACACGAGUGAGGGCAUCCUCAUCAGUUCCAACCCUCUUGAUUGCGUUGCGAAGAACCUUCUCAAAGUACUUCUUGGGGUCAUUGAGGCAUCGGAUGGCUACAUGCAGUGCCUUCUGGAGACCAUCAGCACCCUCUUCCAACAAACUCUGUGAUAAAAAGAAGAAAACUUAGAGGUCAAACUCGGCAGUCUUCAAUCUUAGACUCUUAGUACAUAAAAGUCUCUGUAAGUAAUUAGUUUGGGGUUGGAUGCUCUAACUUCGACAUAAGGAGGUUCAUACGUACCUUACUGAUGGAAGUGCCAUGGUCAUCUCGGUAGCGGUUAAAGGUUGCCAUGAGCUGAGUCUUGCUCCUAGUACUGAGGAUCCUAAUAACUUCAUCAUGAUUGAAAGCCUUGUCUUUGAUAGCAUCAUGAAGAAUAUCAGCUUCCGAAUUCGCCAGUUUUGCAUUGAUCUCACAACCAUCAUAACGAUACGCAGUCACUAAAGCAACCAAAAGCUGUAACAUUGACCAAAAACCAUCAAACACCAUUAACAAUUCUUCUACGAUUCGAGAAAAACACAGAUACCAAAAUAAUAGUUCACCUAAUACAAAAAAGAGGAGGCAAACAAUGGCAAAUUCUCCAACUUAUGAUGUUGUCCAUUAGUAAAGUAGACUCUCACAUAAUCCAAGUUCAUAGUUCGAUAACAUAACAUGUCAUACUAUUUGCCAAAAAAAAUCCUUUGCCGUUAAUAAUGUUUGUCGUACCUUGCGGAUAUCACCAGUGGUGUGUGCAGCCAAGUCUUCCUCCAAGGAGUGCUUGUAGCGAACUUGGUAAGCCUUCCUUACUGCAAGGAGCUCUUCAGGAGAUAGAAUGGUUGCAAUCUCGAUGAUUACAUUGUAGUUACACUCAGAUUUCUUGAUGGCCACAUGAGCCAAAACAGCAUCUCGAUCUGCAGGAUCCAAGAUCCAACGGUACACCGCUUUCUACAUUUGCCAUAUCCCCAAAUGAAAUUAGUUUUAGUAUAUGGUAUAACACAAAUUAGAGGUCGCACUUGGUGCGAUGGCAAGUGCCUUCGCCCAUGAGCGGUAGGUCUCGGGUUCGAGACUUGGGAGCAGCCUCUCCAUAAAUGGGGGUAAGGCUAGCCGACAUUCACCUCUCCCAGACCCUGCGUAAAGCGGGAGCCUUGUGCACUGGGUACGACCUUUUAUAUGGUAUAACACAAAUUGCUCAAACAAGAAAUAUAAAACUAAUAUAACUCAUGCAAAAAAUUUGAACAUAAAGUUAGUUAGGUCAAUUCCAAAGUUCGGAUUCCCAUUUUCAUAAAUUAGCGUAAUUUAAGAUAUUACAUUGUGAGAUAUAAAAUAUAGAAAAUUUGAGUUCGAAAGUAGAUACCAUGUAAGUUCAUCCAUGUAGAGAGUUUUGAGAGGCAAAAACUUUUUAUAUUCUAUAUAUUUCAUACAAAAGUGAUGAAUUGACUGAAAUGUUCAAAACUCUUGUAUUUAAGUGGUACCCUUUAAUCUCAUCAAAACAUUUCAGUCCACAACAAAAAUCUCGUAAAAAAAUAUUUACUUAAUAUUAAUAAAUAAUACUUUUACCAUAUUUUUCGUACCACAUUAAUACCGUUCUUUAAUAGAUAUAGGUGUACAUGUGUUCUAUGCCAUUGUUAUUUUAAACAAAAUAAUACUUGGAAUUAAUAAUUUAUUGAUAGCUCAUUGAUUUGUUCUCUAGAAACUUUCAAAUGUCGCUCUCAUCAUGAUGACAUUCUCGUUUCCACCCACUUCUAUAUCUUUGUAGGAAAAGGACAAAACGCUUCGGAGAUUUCUAUGUUUUGUGAUACACAAGAACGGAACUAGAUCCCCUCCGGACUCAAGAAAGCUAAGUCUGCUGAGCAAGAGAUUCGGGUUGUUGAAAUUUGAUCAAACAGCUACAAACAUGAGGCAUUUAAAAGUUAUAAAAAUUGAAAUUAUUUGAUCAAAUUUCAACAGUCCGGAUCCCUUGCUCAGCACAAUUAGUUUAUUUGAGCCCGGAGGCGAUCUGGUUCCCACAAGAACAAUCAAAACAUAACACAUUUUUUCAUGUAUUUAUUUUUAAAAAUAUUUAAAUUAUUUUUUACUCAUGAAUAUUUCAAAAAUAUAAAUAAAUAGUAAUGGUAAAUAUCGAUUAAGGGUGAAAGUAGGAGAGAAAAAACCUCAAAAUCCCCAGAGAGCUCGGACUCAAGGCGCUUGAGAAGAUCUUCCUGAUAAGAUUGCUCGUAAGCAAGCCUGAUUUGCUUUCUCUGUGCAGCGUUUCUAUGUCCCAGUAUAGAGAUUAUAGCCUUCUCAUCAGUCCCCCAUCCUACACAGUACACAAAAAUAUGAAAUAUACAUUAAUUUACCAUAUAUAUAAAUUCUCAAAAAAACAAACACAAUUAAUUAUCUGCAUGCAAAUUAAAAUAAGAAUUAAAUGGCUGAAUAAAAUGAUUAAACCUUUCACAGAUUUUCGAAGAACUUCAGCAUCGUCGACGGGUGAGAAGUUUUCAGGAGCAAUUAGGGUAGCCAUUGUUGGAGAUAAUUUUCUAGGUUCGACUCCUCUCUUACUAGUGUCUGUCUUGUGCUCUUGCUCUUACAAUGUCUAAUAUUUAUAGCAAAUCUUUCACAUUAAGAAAUCAACUAAAAUUGUGGUAUUUAGGAAUAUAUUAAUUAGCAUAUCUACUAAUUAUCCACAAAUGAGGUUGUGCUUACGUGAGUUUUGGUUGG